rnacentral:lncRNA from 1 species
GAUGAAAGGUCAUCUUGGUUGAGGGGAUAGUAUAGAACCCUUGGAGCGUAGACGUUGUUCCGAAAUUGAUCCAAGAGACAGAGCUUGUGGGUUUUUAGGUCAAGUGGUGUUGGGGAAGAGGGUUUGAUUCUCUCUCUAGAAAUUAUUUGUACCUCCAUUUUCUUUUUCAGAGCUUUCUAGAAUUGAUUGGCUAGAAAGUGUUUGAACUCUUUUGCUAUCAAAUUGAGUUAUAUUUUCCUUUGAUUCUCGAGCUAUUUUGAGGGUCCGCCUGCGUGCGGUGAGUGGUGAUAUUUCAAAUCGUUGACAAUUAUUGUUAUGUUUUUUUAGGAAACUGAUUACUGAGUAAAGAUAAAAAAAUGGUGCGCAUUUUGUAUUAAAUAAAAGAAAUCAACAGUAAAUUAAUUGACAACGACGACGGUAUGAUAUUGCGAUGAUAUUUCAUGUUUUGUGGCUAUAAAUGAACUUGUAAUUAUUGCGAAGGCGAUUAGAUUUUUGCGGUAAAAUUUAGUAAAGGACAAAUGAAAUAAAUUUUACUUUCAAAAGAUCUAAGUGAUUCACUUAAAGAACUUUUUACCUUAGAUAGGGUCCUGCUAACUUGCAACAGUUGCAAGGUACCCAAAACUUUGUCUUUUUCUAGUUCAGUUUUUACUGGCUAAAUUGUUGAACGGCUAAAAUGUGUUCAAUUAGUUAUUAACAUUACAGUCCCUACUAUUUAUUAUAUUAUUAUAAAAGUCAAAAAUGUUGAAAUAUUUGCUUAUAUAACUCAUGCUGUUUUAAAAUUUUAAAGUUUGAUUUAUUGACUUAAUUUAACCAUAAAAAUGAGUGACGGUAUAAGAAGAAUAAUGUAGUAGUACAUGCCACUUCGGCCUUGGCCGAAGUGGUGGACUGCUGCCCUCACAAGCAUUGUGAGGGCAGCGGUUCUAGCCCCCACAAAAGCAUUGUGGGGGCUAAAUGUUCUUUAUAUUUAAAAAUCCUUCUCCCUUGCGAAAUGCAAGUGGAGUAUGGACAUCCCUCUGCUGUGAGGGGUUAUUUGUCUGGGCAUGUACUUCAUAGAAUUCAAUGUAAUAAUAUAAGUCCCAAUCAUGUAUAUCUGAUUGUAAAUAUCAGUGUAAUAUCUCUGCUACAAUAGCAGUUGUUGUAAAUAUCUGUGUAAUGCAGUAAUAUGAUGAUUAAUCAUUAUUCAAAAAAAAAAUGUAGUAGUACAUAAAUUUUUUUAAACAAAUGAAAAUUGAUAAUUGUAAACAAUAUAUUUUUUUUAUAUUAUAUAUUUAAAAGGAAGUUAGUUUAUUUGUUAUUCUUUUAAGAAAUUUUUAAAAGCUUUUGAGCUUUAUGUUUUUGGAGAAUUAUCCUUUUUUAUAUAUUUGGGCUUGUGGAUGUUGUUGUAAUGAUAAUUUAUAAUUUAUUUUGAUUAAAAAAUAAUUGAAUAGUAAAUUUAUUAAUUUCUAAAUGCUCUUUUAAAUGUAGGGUGGUUGCUUAAUUUUUAUUGUGAUAGCCUAAAACUUUUGGCGAUGGCUCAUCAACAAUUGUAAAAGACUUUGCCACGAUUAUCUUUACUUUCUCUACAUCUCUCUCGGCCAUCAUCACUCAAAGUGUUAAGAGUUCACGUGGCACACUGUAUUAUAUUAUAAUGUAUUGUAGUAUUUAAUGUAAGUGUAUCAUAUUAUAUUAUAUUGCAUCAGUAAUAUAAUAUAAUAAUAUUGUACAAUGUUUGGUACAGUAGAACCUCUAUAUAGUCAUAUUGUUGGGACUAGAGAAAUUUAUUCUUAUAAAGAGGUUAUAACUUAAUAGAGGUACAAAAAUUAUUGUCUUUGCUUAAUUAUCCCUAAUGCAAGUAAUAUAGAGGUAAAUUAUAUCAUAUAUUAAUAAAUUAAUAAGUGAGUCAAAUUCAAUGUAUAGAUAUUAAUAAAUUAAUUAGUAAGUGAGUCAAAUUCAAUAGAUAGAUAAUAAUAAAAGAGAUAUAUAAUUUCAAAAAACUAAUAUAAAAAGUUUUAUGCCAGGAAGCUACAAACAUGAGAAGUUAGAAAUAUUUUGGCUUCGACCAGAAGAUGUCUAUGCUGACCAAUUAAUACAUACCCGCAAAUUGAAAGAUGUGGUUGCAACUUUAAAGAACAAAUCAUUGUCACAAGCAACUUUAGAAAGAUAUUUUGUUCCAUCUUAAUUAUUUAAUGUAACAUGACAUAUAUAUUUUUGAAAUAUAAUUACUAUGUGGAGGUAAAUUUAUUAAAAUGGGACCUACAAAAAAUAUAACUUAUUAUAAUGUGGACUUUAUUCCUAAUUAUAACUGGCCCCAAGUGAAAUACAAGUAAGCAACCCAAGAGGGGGGGGUGAAUUGAGAUUCUAAAAAAUUAUUCAAUAUUAAAGAAAAUCUUAAUGCAAUUAUAACUCAAAUUCAAAGCAAUAACAAUUAAGAUGUUCACAAUAUAAAAAGAUAAGGGAAGAGAGAUUCAAACACGAGAUUUUUACGUGGUUCGGCCAACCUUGCCUACGUCCACGCCUCCAAGCUUUCCGGGCUUGAGGAUUCCACUAAGCAAGCCUCCAAGGCUUCAAAUGCUUACACUUGACUUCCAAGGUGUCAAUGGACCUUUACAACAAGAGAUUAUCCCCAAUCUCUUAACCCAAGUGUAUCCCAACACUUACAAUCACUCAAAGUAAAAGAUUACAAAUUGUUUUGCCUCUCACAAUAUAUAAGAUUACUCAAUGAUGCUUAAUAUGUGAAUAGAUGAAGCAAGAAUGUGUUCUAAGCUCUAUGAAGAUUGUAUUCUCGAAUAUUAGCUCAAAUGGUUGUGUUGUGAUCAAUCUUCUUUGAAUUUGAAUGAGCUUAUUUAUAUUUGGAGCCGAAAAUCUAGCCGUUACAAACUGUCGGACAGAAAACGGUUCGCCGUUAACCAUUAACGGUUAACCUUUUAGGCUGGUCAAAGUUACCGUUGGGCCAGAUUUCAAAUAAACGGUUUGCCGUUUACGGUUGCCCCUUCGCCGUUAACGUCCAGAGACCUGCAAGAUGAGCAUUUGUUAUCCGUUUACGCUAAACGGUUAAGGACUUGCGUGAAGUGGCUUCUCUGGAUAUUAUCGGUUAACCGUUUGAUAUAAACGGUUCGCCGUUUGUCUCUAGUAACCUGCAAAACAUUUUAGCCUUAUCAGUUUUCGUUAAUCAGUGCCAGAGGAGGACAACCUUCAAUUCUGGUCAUUAUCGGUUAACCGUUUAAAUUAAACGGUUCACCGUUAAGUUCCAGUAGCCUUUCCAUUCUUGGUGAUUUCCGUUUUUCAUAAACGGUUAGAGCUUUAGGCAUUAUGUCGCUCUCUGGUGUUAAUCGGUUAACCGUUUAAAAUAAACGGUUCACCGUUAAGUUCCAGUAACCUUCCCAUCUUUUGUGUUUUCCGUUUUUCAUAAACGGUUAGAGGUUUAGGAAAUAUGUUGCUCUCUGGCUGUUAUCGGUUAACCGUUUAAAUAAACGGUUCACCGUUUAGAACCAAAAUUGCAUUUUAAACCAAUUUUUGCAGAGAAACUUUUUCUAAUUUUAAAGUCCAUCUUUUAUGAAGCAUGAAUGGAAUGAUUACUAAGGCUCUCGUUUAUUAAGAAAUAGCUCCAAUACUUUUAUCAAAAAUCAUUUAAAAUUUGUUAUCAUCAAAAUCAAUAUUAUUAACAUAUUUAUGUUAACACCAAGUUGGGACCACAAUUUUUUAUUACUAUGAAAAGGUUAUUCCUAUAUAGAGUAUUCCUAUUUGGAGGUUCUACUGUAUUACAUUAUACUGUAUUAAUUUUAUAUUAAUAUUAAACUAACAUUAUUUAAAUUUAUUAUUAAUUGUAUUAAAUUAUUAUUUAUAUAUUAAUUAUUAAUAUAUAAAUAUAAUAUGAUAUAAUAAAAUAAUAUUACAAUACAAUUUAUUUUUAUAUUUUAUUUAUUGUAAUAAAAAUAAAAUCUAAUAAAAAUAUAUUUAAUCCCUCAAUUAAGAAAAAUAAUAAUAAUGACAAUAAUAUUAAUUAAAACAACAAAAUUGAUAAACUUUAACGAUAAUGAUGGUGAUGACGGCAUUAACAAUAAUUUAAUAAUAACAAUAAUAAAAUUAUUAAAUUUUAGUAAUAGUAAUAAUAUUAAUAACAAUAAUAACAACAAUAAUUAAUAUUAUUAAUAUUCAAUAAUAAUAACUUUAAUGAAAGUAAUAAUAACAAUUAAAAUAACAAAAUUAACAAAGUUGAUAAUAAUAAUAAUAAUUAAUGAGAAUAAUAAUAAUAAUAAAUAAUAAUAAUUAAAAUAAUAACUUUUAAAUAAUAAUAAUAAUUCUUUCAAGUGCCAUUUUAUCCAAAAAAAAGGACUUAUAUAUAAAAAUUUGUAACUUCUAGUGUCUAUUUAAUUAACAUCAAAUAUAAAGUACUGUAGUGUAAUUAAACUAAAAAAAGACAAAAGUUAGUGGUAUGUUGCAACCGUUGCAACAUAGUUUCAUCCCCUUAGUUUCUUUCUUCAAACUGUUGAAAGUGUGAUUAAAAAAAAAAAGUCAAGAAUUUUGACUGUAAAAAAUAAUCGGUGCUGCAAAUUAAGAAGCCACGUUAUUUAAUCUUUAAAGGCCAAAAUAUUGAAAGUUUUAGACAAAAUUUUGCCUAUAAAAGGAAGCGCUCAUUUGAGAGCUUGGCAUCCCAAAAUUCAUAGCAUUCAGUUGGUGAAAGUUGUUACAACUCGUGAUUUUGAAUUAUAUUCACUGGAUUCCUUUUAUUGAAUAAUACAUAAUGUAUUUAUACAUGCAUAUGGUAUAUUGUAAAAGGCAACUAAAUUGUAUGCCUUAAUUGUAGAGAUAUUUACAUAUGGAAAGACUCAAUCACUUUGAUUUAGAAUCGUUGAAUAUCUUGGGUAGUGAUCUUCAACCAUGACCGUCUUGUCAAUCGCUGAACAUGUUGCCAUAUGAGUUUCUGGUUGAUUUGGUAUGUUUGGAUUCUUUGACUUAUCAAAAGUAAGAGAAGCAUUCGGGGCUUUAAGAAUAGAGAGAAAUAUGUUAAAGUAUGUAGAUAUAUUAUAAGAGCAUUUGACUCUUCAAUAUGGGUAUUAUGGGUCUACUUUGUUAAGGAAUAUUUCUUGAUUUCAUGUAUUUGGAGUUUGGGUGAGAGAAAAUUGUUUCUGACAAUGUGAUUGUAAUAAUUUUCCACAUAAUGAAUAUUUUUCUCUGGUUAUUUUUCAACAACGACUGAGGUUUUUUUUCGGAUUUAGAGUUUUCCACUUAAAUCUUUUGUUGUGUGAUUGUUGUAUUCUCCAUUUAAUUUUUAUUUAUUUAUUUAUUGCUUGAUAAAUUGGUUGGAGUGAUUUGGGAAGGAAUCUCAAUUUCCUAACACAAACAAGGACUCAAGAAAAAAAAAAACUUUAUCAAAUGUUUAACUCAUAAUGUAUGCAAAAUGUGAAAUGGGGGUAAAUUUUUCGUUACACUCUCCAAAUUGAGUCAAUUACUUCAUAUAUUUUAAGAUUUACCCAAAACACCAAUGUCAUUAUUUUUGUAGAAGUUGGAUCUUAAUUUUUAAGGGUGAAAUAGUAGACUAGAUCAACCUACAAAAAUGAAUAAGUCCCUCUAAAUAGAUGUUUUUCCUAUUCGGCAAAUUUAUCAAGAUAUAUGAUAUUCAAUAGGUUAAAAAUAUAUAACUAAUAACUAAAUAAAUUUUAAUAUGAAUAGAAAUAUGAUAUAGACAUUUGAAUAAUUUUUAAAAAUAUAAAAAUAAUUAGAUAAUUAACUCAAAUUAUUGAGACUAAAGAAGCAUUUAUGGUGCAUCAAAUGUUUUACGCAACUUGAAAGUAGUCCAUGAAAGUUUUCAAGAGUGACACAAUGCAAGAAUAUGUGAUGCAGCAGAAAAAAUAAUUUCUAAUAUUUUGUUGAUUUCGAGAAUACUUAGAAAAGAGAAAAAAAAAAAAUCUUAUGGGACUCACACUGAUCUAAGAAUGCUUGUGAAUUUGCAGUGCUAAAAUUCGUUAAUUUCACAUGCUGCCUAGACUUAAUAUAUUCAAUAACUCGCAUAGUAUUAUAAAAUAAAUUAAUAGACGAAAAAUUUUGAACUAAACAAAGUACUUAAAAGUACCUUAUUAUUAAGCUUAUUAUUGAUAAGCUUUCAAUUCUUAUUAUAAAAAAAUAUUACACAUAUGCAUUAUAUAUAUAGGUAACAAAGCCAUGAUGAGGAAUUGCUUUUCCGAUGUGGGAAAAGUGAAGUUCACAUUGACAACACAGAACUUUCUAAAGUGAAAUAAUUUUAAACCAAUUCUGUAUCUAAAAACUAAAAAAUAGAAAAUCUACUAUAAACGCCAAAAAGGGCAAAAAAAAGGAAAAAACUUUAAAUACUAUUAUAUAUCCAGAACGCCAAAAGCGCAUCAAUAAUUGUCAAACGGAACAAAAGAAAAAUUGGCAGCAACGUUAAGCCACGUUAAAUGGGUCCUUUAUCGUUACAAUAAAUAAUAUUCAACGUUUUGAUGCCUUGCCAUGUUGAUGCAGAUCUUUUGUCUGUAGUAAUUGAUAUUUCGCAGAACUAGGGAGAGGAUUGAAUGACAGUUUGGCUAAAUAACAAUAAUAAUAUUAAAAAUAAAAGACGCGCUUGUAUUAAUUUCCCUGCCUAUUUGUUGCUAGCAUUGAAAAAACAAGUUGAGGAUUAAUAUUCUCAAAAAGAAAUGGCGGUAUAAAUAAUUUCAAGAGAGCGAGCAUCAAACCCUAUCUUCUCCAAUUCCUCUCAUGUCAAAUCGUUCAAGCUUUCUCCCUUGGAUCAACAUUACCUACACCACUAUACUCCUAGGCUCCUUUUGUAUGCCCUUAACCUUUUCGGAGUAGUUGAUAUUGGCCUUAAUAUCGUCUCCAGAAAUAUUGUAACCAUUAAAUUAGUCUCUAUAAAAGAUUUAGUUCUUCAUUUCUAUUAGAUUAGGGUUCUUUCAUAAUCUAAUAUUUUGUUGAAUGAAGUUUACUCAAAUAAUUGAUAAUUAAUAAAUUAAAAAAAUAAAUAACAGCCAGCAGCCCACCGUCAGCUCCCCUGUUAAUCCUAUUUAAUUUUGAAAUAACAAAUGAUUAGCCAUAUAUGUUCCCAAUAUUAUAUCCGCAGCUAAAAAGAAUAUCAUCAUCAUUUCUUCAAUUCGUCUUUUCAAACCAAUGAUACAUAAAAGGGUUAUUUUUACAUACCUCCCCUGAGGUUUCACCUAAUUUCAGUUUAAUAGAAAGUAUCUCCGUAUUUACACUCCCCUCCCCUGCAGUUAGUAUUCCGUCAGUUGACUGUUAGUGGACUAACAAGAGGACGAAAAUACCCUUUAAAGGCUGACAGGUACAAUUUCCCAGCAAAGUUGACAGUGCAAGCAUAUUCAAAAGCUGAAAAUAUCCGAAAAUAUUGAAAUCAAACAUAAAAAGCCGAAAAUGCUUAGGAGUUGGAGAUUUGGGGUCCAAAAAAUUUUCUUCUCCCUGCUAAUAUUACCGUUGGAAUCAACGGUAAUAUUGGCAGCAACUUUGCCCAUAAAUAGUUGAAUAAAACAAUGUUUAGCUUCCAUCACCAUUUCACAUUUAUUCUAAAGGAAAAAAAAGCCAGUGCAUGAACUCAGGAAGCUCAUGCUAUACAUUCUUGUGAAUCAUUGUAUUCAACCAGUAUACAAGCCAAAAACAGAUAACGCACCAACAAACACAUGGACUCCCAAAGCUCAAACACAUCAUGCAGAUCAGACAUGCAAGUAGAAUAUGAACCAGCUUGGAGAAAUGGGGUUAAUGGCAGGCUAAUCAGAUUCUCAAAUCGUAUAUGCAGAUGCCAAACCAGAGCUGAAGUGAAGAUAUCAGAGUCUGAUGAUAAUCCUCACAAGCUUUAUUACACAUGCAAGAACAAACCAAAAUGUGGCUACUUCAAGUGGUGGGUACCAGACAGAACCGACUUCAACAAUGGGGCUGUUUUAGAAGGGAAUGCGGCUGCCAUGGUGGAUUCUCAUGUCAUAAAUACGAUUGAUACUAAUGUAAAAGAGGUGAAGAGCAUUGUGAAGAAGUUAAUGAAACCUGGACACUAUAAAGAUGUAUUGAAAACAAUGAUGUAUUGUAAUGUAGUCUUACUGGCAGUAAAUGUUAUGAUGCUUAGGAUGCAUAAUGCCUAAAGUUGUAUUUCUAGUUGGUUGUACACCAAUUUAGCAAUGGAGUAAUGAAAAUUUAAGUAGUUAAUUUCUAAUGCAUAUCAAUGUUCAUGAAACAGAGAAAACAGCAGGCUUAAAGCCUUAAGUAGUAUACAUAAAAUGAAUACCAAACCAGCAAGCUCAGCUUGAAGUAAUAUACAUGAAAUCAAAAUUAACCCAACAAGGUAAACCAUAAAUAAUAGUUCAAAACUCAGCACCAAACCAGCAAGCUUAUUUAUAUACCAUGUAUCUCAUUGAAAACUAAAUCAGCAAGAUUAAAUAUAAGUGCUAGGUGAAAUCAACUUCAAACCAACAUAAUAAAGUAUAAACCACGGUUAGAACUAGUACUCUAACAAAUUAAAAUAUAACUCACAAGAGUUUGAACUAUAGUAAUUAAUUAUAUGCAUUUCAACAACAAUAAUUUGUGACAAUUACAAAUGGCUGCAUUUCAUCAGCUUCUACAACCAGCAGCAACCCAUAUUUGCAAAAAAAGGCAACUAUUUUCUUAGUUUGCCAUAAUCAGACAAGUUAUAAGGCAUGCUUGCCCUUGUCAAAAUAUUGGGAGUUUGUUUGUAAAAAUAACUCUUCUACAAAAUAUACAAAAACUCAAUCCUAUGUACGAGGUUGAGUAACAAAAGAUGAUACAACAUCUUCAUAGCAUAACUUACAGUGGAAGAGAUAUAGUAUCAUCUAAUCCCUCAAAAAAAUGUGUUGUAUGGGAUUAACUUUGGUGUUGCUGUCCUCUUGCAAAUAUAUAGAUAAUCUUGACAUGUUGCUGAAUGCAUUAACUUCAUACUGCUUACUCUAGAAUAACUUGUCCUUCAUCAAGUAAAGAACCCAAUAAGACAUUCAUUUUCUACUUAUUUACGACUAUUUGAUAAAUUAUUCGAAAAAAAAAGGUUAAAGAAAAUACCAGGUCCAGCAACACUGGACUGAGUUGAGCUUAUAUUCCCAGCAAAUGUAGCCCUUGAAGCAGAUCCAUCAUCACAAUGUACCGAGCCAGAGGAUUCCUCUCUUUUUUACACACACACACACACACACACACGUAUAGAUAAUUAGUUUGUAUUAUAUACAUAAUAAUUUGAUAAUGAUAAAAAAAAAUAUAUGAAACAACAUAAAUGCUGACCUUGGACGAUCUUCUCUUCAUUUCAGCUUUGUUGACAUUUAAAGACCUCAUAGGCUCUUUGCAACCCCUCUUGUUGUGGCCCCAUUGAUCGCAUCUAGAGCAUUUCACACUUGAACUCCUUUUAAAGUUCUUCGCUUCACCAGCUUCCUUCCUUCUCUUCGUUUGAGGUCUGCCAGCAGUUUUAAUGAUCAUUGGUGGUAGAAGAUUGUCAUGUAAAAGCAAUGGCCAGUUACUUUCAUCAGGUACCGGAUAAAGUUGGUGAGAGUAUGUGUUCUUAAAUGAGGUCUUCUUGAGCAAAGUGUGAACAUAAUCAUCCACAUUGAACCUCAUGGCAUCAAUACAACAUACUGCAUGCUUGCAAGGCAGCCCUGACACAUCCCACUCCCUACAAUCACAGUGUUUGCCCAACAAAUCAACUGUAGUUCUCUUCGAAACAUCUUCCAUCACCUCAAAAGUUUGGUUGUGCCCAAAGAUCACUUGCAAUGACCUAGACUCUUCCCUAACUGCCAUAGUCCUUCUCCUUACAAUUGGGGGCAAUUCAUCCUUCCAACACAGAACUUGUUGUUGUCUCUUAUGGAUUAAUGUCAUUAUUUUCCGUCUUAUCUCUUCAAGCAUUCUCAAGAUUGGCAUUGCUCUGAAAUUUCCAAUCCAAUUGUUAAAUGACUCGGUCAUGUUGUUGGUGACGUGACUGCACUUAGUGUGUGUGGGAAAACAGUGUUUAGCCCAACAAACCACCGGUAUGCCCAUCAACCAGUCAUGGGCAGCAGGGCUGAUUUUAUACAAUUCAGCCAUAUGACACUUAAACUUAGUAGCAUUUGCACUUCUACAGGCUUGCCAAAACUCUUUCCUAAGUAAAAGAUCUGGAAACUUUUGUUUAAAAUUAGCAUAGAUGUGCCUACAACAAUAUCUCUUCAAAGCUUGCGGGAACACUCUCUCUAAUGCAUUCAAGAUUCCUUUCUGUCUAUCACUCAUAAAACAUAAGCCCUCUCCAUCAUUGCAGCCUAUUUGCUCAUACAAUCUCUCCAUAAAGUACACCCAAGACUCGAUAUUCUCAUUUUCUACUACACAAACAGCCAAAGGAUAAAUGCCAUAAUUGGCAUCAAUACUAACUGCAGAUAAUAGUACUCCCUUAUACAACCCUUUUAAAAAACAACUAUCUAGUCCUACGAACUGCCUACAACCCCCAAAGAAACCCCUUCUAUUAGCAUCAAAGAACACAAAAAAUCUCUUAAAAUGAGGACUAACUCCACCCCCCAUCCAAUCUUUAUCUAAGGAUACUGUAGAACCAGGAUUUGAAGCAAUAAUUGCAUGCAUAUAUCUGAACAAUUUCGUAUAGCUUGCUUUAUGAUCUUGGCCCAAAAACUCUAAAGCUUUGUUUUUGGCUCUAUACAGCCUCUGAUUACAACAUGUUAUCCCAUAUUUUCUAAACAACUCUGAUCUAAGCACAUCAAUUGGCAGCUCAGUGUUAGCUCUAAAUAAAUGAAGAAAGGUAAUACCUAUCCAGGUUGAGGUUGCCUCAUAGUUUUCACUAUUUCUUGCACAAGUGUGUUCUGAACAGUGUGUCUUGAUCUGGAAAUGCCUCUUAUUCCAGUUUGGACUUGCAUGUAUCCUCCAUGUACAACCCUCAACAGCACAACAAAGAGUAACUCUUGACUUCUCAUUCUUUACUCUUUUAAGUCUAAAGCCAUUUUUUAUCGCAAAUACCUUGACAACCUUCCUGAAUUCAUCCACAUUCUUGAACAGUUGACCAGGCUUAAGUAUAAUUUUCUCACCGUCAGCUGCAAACUCAAAACCCCCCGAGUUUUGUUCAUAUUUACAGCAAGCUUCUUGAGCAUCCCCACUAUCAUUGUCAUCUGAUUCAGUACCACUAUCAUCUCCAGAAUGAUAGUCAUCUAAAGCAUCAUCAAGCACAUCAACUUCAAACUGAUUCAGGUCUCCUUCACUGCCAACGUCCAUAUCAUCUAUAUUUUUUUCAGCUUCUAUUUCUUCAUCAUGUGUGUUGUCAUCAAGCCCUACUGCUGCCAUGCUUUCAUAUGAAUCUUGCACUAUGUGAGUUGCAGCUGCAAAAUCGACAGUGUUGCUUUCAUCAUUUAAAUCAGAAAGUGCAAACUCCUUGUCCUCAUCAAAGUCAACCCACUCCACAUCUGGUUCAGGUGGCAAUAGAACUUUAAACUGUGCAACUGGGCUUUCAUCUUCAUCGUUUCUAUCUUUAGGCAACCCUGAGUCGCCUCUGUCUUUUUCCAACUCAUCUAGUUCAGUUUUGAUUAUGAAGAUGGCCCAACUAUAUUUCUUCUCCCUUAACUUGUUGAAUGCAUCUUGCAAAUCAGUUUCUGUCUUCAAGGUGGCAUAACUCGUCUCCCAAGGUAACAUAACUUGAAAUCUGACUUCAGUAGCAUGCUUAAUAGGCUGAUCAAAACAUAAAUCCCUGAUAUCAGCCCACAACUUCUUUAAGCUGUAAUGUUCUGGUAUCACUGAUGCAACAGUGAGCAAGUCACCUCUUACAACAGCCUCUAUAUCCAUGUAUACAGAGCUGGAAAAAAGAUUGUAUUUAAAUUGUAAGAGACGUUAAAUUGUAAGAGACAUUAAAUAUUCUUAAAACUAAAUUCUAACUAAAGAAUUGCUAAAAUUGGAUAAUCAAUACUGUGAAAAAAGAAAAAGGUCAAAAAACAAUAAUAAAUGGGCCUAGCAUGCUUAAUCUCUCAGGCUGUCUUAAAAAAAAAAGGACAAAAGUUGGAAAACUUUGAAACACUCAUCAUCAAAUCUGUUGCUUCAACAACAACUUUAUUUGAUUACAUAAUAAAUCAAAGUUCAGCACAAGCGUACAACUAACAGCAAAAGGCUCAAUUAAUAUUCAGGUCUUAUUCAGACCAUCGAACCAAAUAUUGCAAGCUAUUAAAAGAAAGAAAUCAAAGUUCAGCACAAGCUUACGACUAACAGCACAAGCAAACCAAAUAUUGGCUGGAGUGACAUGUAAAAGAAACAGAAGAAACUAAAUGCAGUACCAAUUUUAAUUGAUAUAUGUUGUGUUUGACCAAUUAAAGAAAAUUAUUAGUCAGUAGUCAAUAUGCAUUUUCAAGUGAAAAUCUUAGAACUACAUGAAUAUAAAUAACCUCUUGUUGUGACAAUGGUAUGACUACUGUAUCAAUUUGUAUACUAGCUUAUAGCCUAUCCACGCAAAUUUCAGUUGCGGGUUUCAAUUUUCUGUGGACAGGUUUCAAUUUCAGUUGUGCCAAUCCCAGGAGCCAAAAAUGCAGAACAGAUUAUUGACACAAAAUGAUUUAGUAAAGUGAUAUGGAAAAUCAAGUGAGAAAUUUUAAUAAAAUUAAAAUAGGCCAGCAUAAUAUCAUCACUCAAUUCCAUUAACUCUAACAGAACCGAAAAAAAAUUCUAAGCAAAUUUUAAGUUGAAAAUCUAAUUAACUGGGAAAAAAUUAAGUUUAAAAUAUCACCAAAAGCCUUUGUGGCAAGUCACCGGAACACAUCAGAAAAUCUAUAGCUCACUAAAGAAGAAGAUAUUAUAUAAGAGGCAGUUGAAUCCGUACCAGCCCACCCACCAGCACUAGUAGAGGAUUACCCACCAAGCGACGACGAUUUGACACACACACACAGACAGAGUCAGGAGCUGAAGUCAUUUGCAACGACUUCGAGCUGUGCAGAGGUGGAGAGGCAUGGAGGAACUGACGAAUCGAGAGGAAUGGCUGGAUGAGAAAGGAUGUAGCUUUUAGGGCUUGUUUUGUUUUGUGAAAUUGGGAAUUAGGGGAACGAAAUCGUGGGCUGCAACGGUGAGACAUGGUGCGGCAUUGAGGAAUCACCGAGAGGGGUGAUCGGAUCAGCGAGGAAGUGGCUGUUAUGAUGAAUUGUGAAUUUCUCGUGUUUCUGACCCGAAUUGAACUGAAAGCCGAAUAUAAUUUCGGGUUCAUUUCGGUUCGGGUCAAACGACCCGAAAGGCCCCCAAAACUCAUACAUUCAAAACACAGCAACACCAAUCUUUCCAACUUAUAUAUCAAAAACGAAGAAAACCAAAACCAAAACUAUGAUUUACUACAAUAGUUUUUCCAAAAAAAAGAAAUAUUAAACUAACCUCUUCUCAGCUCCAAUGCCAGUCCCAGAACCACGUCGUCGUCUAUACUCACUCGUCUUGUUCAUGGGUAAGUUGAAACUAAUGAUGAAUCUUGAUUUUCAAGCUCACAUAUAUUUGCUUGUUUUCACACUUGUGAUACUUGGGGAUGAACUUUUCGUGCAAGUGUAAAUCUUUUGCACUUUUGUUAAGCCAUUAUUUUUUGGUUAAUGAUUUGGACCGAAUAAUGAAGUGAUGCUACUCUCAUUUUCGCGGUUACCCAUACCAGUAGAGUGAACUUUUUUAGUUUUUUUUAAUUUUAAAUGGGCUUUUACAAUUUUAGCCUUGUGUACUGAUGUUAUACUUAACUUUAUACUAACUGCAGGGGAGGGGAGUGUAAAUACGGAGAUACUUUUUAUUAAACUGAAAUUAGGUGAAACCUUAGGGGAGGUAUGUAAAAAUAACCCAUACAUAAAAUAACAAAACUUAUCAAAGGCCCUACUGUACUAAGACCAAAUUACCAACGACGUUAGCGGUUACACCUACAAAAAAAUGAGCUUCAUAAAUAAAUAAAUAAAUAUACUCGAAAUGAACAGAUCUUUGUCAUGUAGUGUAGCUUUUGGUAGAAUUGAUUAGAAUAUAUAGCAAAGGAGAGAGGAAAAUAAUUCGUUGAAUACAGAGGAGAGAGGAUAGAGAAAGAGAUAUUAAAUUAGUAUGGAUGUGACAUUUUUAUUAUAAUAUAUCUAUCUAAUCUUCCCUUUUUUUUUUCCUAAGGUAAAUAUCUAUCUAAUCUCAAUCAUUCAAAUAUCUUAGAUCUAAGGGUUUACUGUUGAUGUAAAAAUUAGUAAAACUGAGAGUUGUUAAUCCUCCGCUCGUGCAUACAAAAUCGGUCAGCUUUAGGUCCAGGAUCCCGAUUAUAUUUAUUAUCCCUAGUCCCACUUUUGGACUGUCGGUUGUUGAAUUCAUUGCAAGAACCAAUUUUGUUUGUUUUCAAUUAUAAAUUAUUUCAACAGUGGGCUACAUCAUGUUGAUUCUUUUGUUUUUUAACUUGUUCUAAUGGUGGAUCCCAUAUAUGUGUAUAUGUAUAAAACUAUUCGGUUAAAAAAUCCGGACUUACGUUAAAGUUCAGGAUCUGAAUUGAACCUUUGAAGUUGAAUCAAAAGGGAAUAAUCCAAUUGCACAUAUUGAGUCCCACAACUAGAGAUGGUGUCAAUGGCCGGACGGCACGUGGCACGUCACGUGAUGCAGAAUAAGAAAUUGAAAAAAAUCUUAAUUAGAUUUAAAUUUAUAAUUGUUUGGGGAGAAACAUGAAAAGUAAUAGAAUGCCACGUGUCGAUGAGCGGAAUAACUCCAAGUAAUCACUGUACGCAUUUGGGGUACCCCAUCUAACUCAGGACCCGGAGUACCCCGCAUAAUUCGAGGUGCCCCAUACAACUCGAGGAUAACUCGAUGUACCCCACAUAACUCGAGUAUAACUCACGGUACCUCACAUAGCUCGAGGUACCCCAUCUAGCUUGAGUAUAAUUCGAGGUACCCAAUAUAACUCGAUAUAUGGGGUACCUAAUAGAUCAGAUUCGAAGCGAACGAGGAAAGUCCUUUGAAAAGUCCGCCAUGAGAAAUGUCUCCAUCACUUGAAGGAUAAUAUUUGAUUUUGUCAGGAUUAAAUAUUAAAAUAUUGUACUGAAAAGUUGCGAUAGCCACCUGUUACCUCUGCCAAAAAUGAAGGACGAUGUCCCAAGGACAGUGGUCCUCACUCGCCUUACUAGACAACCAUUGCUGAGGUACCCUGGACCACUCUCCAGCGUGCGCCACGUAUCCAAAAGGAUAAGAUACGCCGCAAAUGCCUUCUUGAUUCCCAAACAUGCACAUAAUGACCCAAAAAUCAUAAAAAAGGUCAAAGGACAUGAAAGACCUGAAAAGGGACAACCAACAGCCAUAAAAAAUGGGUCACAUGGCAGCUGAGGUACUCAAUAUAUAAAGAUGUCUAAGUUCUAUUCUCUUUAUUCUUUUAUGAAUACUCACACUCUACAAAAUAAGCAUUCUUCAACCUUAAAUUUCGAUUUACAGAGGGCUAACAAGCUCUCUUUACCAUAAAAAGCUUGAGUUGCUAACUUGAGCAUCGGAGUGUGAAUGCCGGGGCACCCCGGCUUCACCUCUAACCUCUAUUUCAUUAUUUUGCAGGCAUAAAAGCUCGUUUCAAAGGAUUUCUUUUCUUGAUUUAGACCCCUCAUCGCCAUCACCAGCUCCCUCAACCAUUCUCACCCCCUCUUAAUUUUAGAAAUACCACACACAACAAACUAGCGAGGUACCCCGGUUACCCAAGAGAAACAAAUUUAUUGUUCUAGAUAUGUUUUAUCUUUUUCUACCCCUCAAAAUUUGUCUAAGAUAAUAAUAUUUAGGAAUAUUUUAAUUAAUUUGUAUUCUAGUUUAAUUUGGUUUCCUAUUUAGAGUUUUAUUAAUUAGGCAUUGCUUAUUUGAAUAAUAUUCUUAAUUUAGGUAUAAGUCUUAUUAAAAUAGGUUUUCUAAUCAAAUUAGGACAAGUUUUAGUUAGUAUAAAUGAGUGUCUUUUGUUCCUUUUACAAGCAGAGAGAGAUGUUCGAUUUCAAUAAUAUUUUAAUUUUCAUAUCUCUUUUUAAGUAUUUGAGCAGUUAAUUCUCUCAGUAUUCAAUUGAAUUAACGAGUCUUAACCCCUAAAUUCGCGGCAUUCUUUUGAAUCAACGUGAAUUUAAUUAUUCUUUUAUUCCGAUAUUCUCUAGAAUCAACAUAAUAUUUUAAACAUUAAACUUCUGUUGCAUCAGCUUGGUAUCAGAGCUAGAACCUGAUAUCACCAAUCUAACCCCAUUUACCACCAAACGUUUCCUUUUUCCCUUUUUGAUUUUUUCCAUUUAGCUUUAUAAAAAAAAAAAAACUGAAACAGAAGCAAAAAUUUUAGCCUGCGGCCACUGUCCAAGGCUGCCGGCUUUAGUUUUCAUCACUGAUUCAGACGCAUCCACCACCAUUCGGAUCAGAAAUCACCGGUCGUCAAACCUCAAGCAUCUACCACUGCCGAUCAGCCACAUAACGCCAGAAAAAUCGCCAAAGCAGUUGCGGUAACAUCGCUGCCAUUCACUGGUUUCUGCAGCGUUACGGCCGUCAUCACCACCAACAGUCAACUCCUCUCCAUCAGCUGAACCUCUCUCACCUGCGUCGAUCGGCGGAAAUCAAAACAACUACAAACCCGCCGCCUUUUCGAACGAACCAUCACCACCAUCAUACUCACCGACCAUAAAUCUUUCAGAUCCGCCCAUUCUUGUCCAAUUGUCCGAUCACCGUCGUUGUAACCCUAUCUUUUGCUUAUUCACAGUUUUGACCCAAUUCUUUCUUUUAUACCAUUAUUGUCCUUUUGUUUUCUGAUCUUAGCAAAAAAAAAACCCCAAACAACCACAAAAAAAAGGAGAAAAAAGAGAGAAAAAAGAAAAAAAAAUUGAAUAAUGAAAUCACAACAUUGACGUGAAGAUUUCAUCUUGAGAGAUGUUUUAGUUAAGAUGUUGAGGAUUUUGCGUUUGAUUUCUCAAGAUUUAGAGAAACUUUGAGAUUAAAAAUCUCUACACAUAAAGUAGGCCUAUGGAUUUGAUGAAGUUGUUCGUGAUAUAUGUUAUGAGGAUAAUGAGGAAAAUAGUAAGAGUAUUUCACUCGACAAUAUUAUUUCUUUCGAGGAGAAUAUUAAUUGGUCAUUCACGUCUAUAACAAAUUCUCCACAUACAUACGUUGAUUUGGAUCAACCACCAAAAUUUGAUGACUAUAUUGAUCUUGUGGAAUAAGAUGAAGUAGCAAUUGAUACAGUCUCAUGUUAUUCACUCGAUUCAAAUGGGGAGAAUUAUCAUAAGAUUUUUCAACAAAUUCAAAUGGGGAGAAUCAUCAUAAGAUUUUUCAACAAGUGGAAAAUUUUAAGAAGCACUCUUUUGUUAUGGGUUUUUCUAAGAGCUUGGAGGGAUGUUACGACAAGGUAUUUUUAGAAAAAUUGUUGAUUGAAGAUUUUAUCUCUCGUUGUUGGAUAGAUUGGAUGGAUAUAGUCACCAAGGUUGGAAAGUUCAGGGUUAUUCAUCAGCAUCGACGUUGUAAUUUAAAGAUUAAUCUUAAGGCAAAUAAAGAUUAUCUUGAAGACUACAACGAGCAAAAUUCGAGGACGAAUUUUCACCACCUUGGCGGGAAUGAUGCAGAGCAAGAAAUUGAAAAAAUCCUAAUUAGAUUUAAAUUUAUAAUAUUUAGGAAUAUCUUACUUAAUUUGUAUUCUAGUUUAAUUUAGUUUCCUAUUUAGAGUCUUAUUGUUUAGACAUUGCUUAUUUGAGUAAUAUUCUUAAUUUAGGUAUAAGUCUUAUUAAAAUAGGUUUUCUAAUCAAAUUAGGAUAAGUCUUAGUUAGUAUAAAUAAGUGUCUUUUGUAGCUUUUACAAGCAGAGAGAGAUGUUCGAUUUCAAUAAUAUUUUAAUUUUCAAAUCUCUUUUUGAGUAUUUGAACAGUUAAUUUCUGGUAUUCUGCGGAAUCAACGAGUCUUAACCCCUAAAUUCGUGGCAUUCUUUUAAAUCAACGUGAAUUUAGUUGUUCUUUUAUUCCGAUAUUCUCUAGAAUCAACGGAAUAUUUUGACAUUAAACUUCCGCUGCAUCAGCAUGUGUCCGUAUAGUACGGCAGGACACGUGCACGUUUUGGUGGGGCACGCGGCACGGUACGACAUGCACGUGGGCUGGGUCGGGCUUAGAAUUUUAGGCACGUUGGCCUUAAAAGAACGGCACGAUUAGAGAUGGGCUAAGUACGGCACGAUGAAAAAGCUCGCAAUAAGCACGUUUUGUUUUUCAAUGAAAGUAAACUUAAAAUUUUAUGAUUUUACAAAUAAUUUGAAGUUGAAUUUUUUAAAUUCAUUUAAUUCUUAGUUUAAAAAAAUACUAUAAUUGAUUUAUAUUUAUAAUUUAUUAAAUAAAUAAUUGAUAUCAUGAUUCUAUAAAUAUGCAUUAAUAUUAUUGUGAACUAUGAUCUAUAACUCUAUGUAACUCCAAGUUAACAAUUAAGUUAACCCUUAAAAAUUUAUUAUUAUUAUUAUUAAGUAUUGAAAAAAUUUCUGAUACUGUAAGGUCAAACUUAGUAAUUAAUAUUAUAUUUUCUUACUAUUAUUAGUUUAUUAUUAUUGAAUAUGGACUUGAGUUUUGAAUUUUUGAUUCUAUUAAAUUUGAAUAAGGCAUAGACCUAAGAAAAAUAUAUAGACUUGAAAAAAGUACGUCAACAACUUAAUAUGCGCUCUUAAAAAUUAAAAAAAAAAUUAAUGGGUUUUUUUUAGGCACGACACGGCAGCCUAAGCAAAAAAAUUUAGGCAUGGCACGACACGGCACGAAACACAUAGUGGGCACAAGCACAUAUGAGCCUUCCUUUGAUGCCGGCCCGGCCCAUUGGCCAUCUCUACCCACAACACAAAGUGAGAUUUUAGGAAUCAUUGACCAUAUUAAAAUUAGAGAUACGCUAAAAGAUUAAAAAAAAUUAAUUUUAAUAUACUAUAUAAUAAAAGACACUACAUUAAAAUUUUUGUUUUUUAUCUUUUAUUUUAUCUUUAAUUUUAAUAUAAUUAGAGAUCCUGAUUGGAAAAUUUAUAUAUAUGUAUAACCCACUGCAUAGCCUUUUAAAGUGAAUUCUAACAAUAGCUCUCAAAAAAGAAAAAAUGGAGGUGGAAAUAAUUUCCACAGAGUGCAUCAAACCCUCUUCUCCAACGCCUCUUCAUCUCAAAACCUACAAAUUCAGUCUCUUAGAUCAAUUUCGCAAUCAUAUUUUUGCCCCUAGGGUCCUAUACUAUCCCCUAAUUAACCUUUCGGAUGCAAGUGUUAUUGAUCAUAUUGUAUCCAAAAGAUUGCAACUACUAAAGCAAUCUUUGUCCGAAACACUAGUUCGAUUUUACCCAUUAGCCGGAAAGAUGACAGAAAAUUUUUCCAUUAACUGCAACGAUGAAGGGAUUUAUUUUGUCGAAGCCCGAGCUAAAAGUCCUCUCAAUGAAUUUCUCAACAAACCCGAUCCCUCCUUGACUCAUAAAUUCUUUCCGGUUGAGGGCAGUGAGUCAUUGACUGGACGAAUUGCGGGAGCACACGUGGCUAAGGUACAAAUAACAUCAUUUCCCUGCGGUGGCCUUGUUAUUUGUUCAUGUUUUUCACAUAUGUUCGGCGAUGGCACAUCCUUCAGCUUGUUUAUGAAGAGUUGGGCUGCCACUGCUCGUAAGAGUAAUACUGGAGCGGCUGUAAUGUGUCCAAACUUUGAUGCUUCUAUUUUAUUUCCUCCGAAUGAAGCAUACCCAAGAGAGCUAAAUUGGAAUAGCUUGUUCACUCGAUUUUUCGAAACUGGUAGAUUCGUGAUGAGGAGAUUUGUAUUUGAUGCCAAAGCAAUAGCCGAUCUCAAAGCCAAGGCAAUUAUUAGCUCAUGCGUGCAGAAUCCAACACGUGUUGAGGUUGUUUCGGCACUGCUUUCCAAGCAUAUCAUGGCUACCUUCAAACUAAAAUCAGGUCCUCACAAGCCAACUUUACUGACCCAUGUUGUAAAUUUGCGUCCAAAAGCCAGGCCUCCGUUGCCUGGUAAUUUAAUUGGAAACAUCGUUUGGCAUACAAAUGUAUUGUGCGAAGAUGAAGAAGUAGAGUUGGCUGGCUUGGCAAGCCAGCUGAGGCAAGCAAUAACAAAACUUGAUGGAGACUUUUUGAAGAGCCUACAACUACAAGGCAGUGAAGGGUUUCUUACGCUUUGUAAAGCUAUUGAAGAUGAAGCUGAAGCUUAUUAUGAUGUCAAGGAUAGAAUACUGUUUAGUAGUUGGUGUACUUUUGGUUUUUAUGAAAUUGAUUUUGGAUGGGGAAGGCCUACGUGGGUAAGUUGUGUUGGAUUAGAUGGAUCAAUUAUCACGCACUCACCCACUAUCGUUCUCACCGAUACAAGAUUGAGGGAUGGGAUUGAGGCAUGGGUGUUUUUACUUGACGACGACAUGGCUUUGCUAGAAGUUGAUAAAGAGUUGCUUGCAUUUGCCACCUUGGAUCCAAGUCCUUUCGCACAAAAUUAACUAUUUGGUAAGUCCGGUUGUUCUGAAUGAUCGAAAUCCCUAUACUUUGAAUUAAUCUCAGUUUAUAUUAUGUGCUUGUAUUUGUCUUCAAAUACUUGCUGAGUGGUUUUUAAAUAGUUUUUUGAAACUGAUUGUUUGAGUUCGAAUUAUGAGAAAAAUUAGAGUCCACCAUCUGACCUUUAAAAAGAAAAAAUAUUCUUGUAUUUCAAGAGUAUUUAAUGUGUAUUCUAUGAGGUGUUUGAUAAAAAUAAUAAUAAUUGAUACUGCCGCUUGCAACCCAAGGAGCAUAGCAAAAUAUUUCUUAAAAUCACCAUUAAUCCACGAAAAACGGUUGUUAUGAACUUGUGAUGAUUUUUUUGCUUUAUUGUUUCUUUCCUUGCAAGUGGCUUGCCAAAUGUUUACUAAAUUGUCUAUGCUAGACAAUUUAUUUAAUAAAAGGUAAAAUAACAUCAAUGAUGUAAUUAGCCUUACCCCCACAAAAGGAUGAAUAAGGAAUUCAUAUAAUUUUAUAUUUUUGUCUUGUUCCUUAUCUGAAGAAUCUUUAAACAAAAAUGAAGAUAUUUUUGGGAGAUUUUAUGAAUCCCCAUCAGGAAAUAAGAGUUUCGAUAUGAUCUCUAUAUAAGAGAAGUGACGUAUACAUGAAAUCAGUAAUCUCUAGAGAAUAGAAGGCAGUUUCAAAUUCAUGUGAUUUGGUUUAGUGUUCUUGCAAUACUAAACUAAUCCUUGAAAUCUUAUUGUCCAAUAAAAAUUAUAAAUAAGCAAGCCAUCAGAAAGAUAUUUUCACCUACCAAACGGUUGUGGCUCAGUUGGCGACGCAGGCUGGAUAAGUGGGAAGAGAUCUCGGGUUCGAUCUCCACUAAACAAACCAUUUGGGAGGGGUAAGAAGCCUUAACUGUGACUACACCCCGAAUCCAGAUUAGUCAGGACCCAAUGCGAUAGCCAGAAACCGGGUGGUUUAAACAAAAAAAAAAAAUAUUUCCACCUUAUUAUUUUUAUAAAUCUAUACCACUUCUAGAAAAUAAUUAUAACUAGUUCACAUUAUCACAAAGGUAUAUAAAUUAACAAAAAAAAUUAGAUAACUAUUUAAUUAAAUCAUUAUUAAAUUUUUUUUCAAACUAGAUAUCUUUGAUCAUUACGCUUACUUUAAGAUAACUAUUAUUAAAGUAUUUUUGUCCUUAUAAUGUUAAAUGACUAGAUUAUCGCAAGAAAUGUGGUCUCUUGUAGCCAUAGUUUAGGUGCUUAGCUAUAUUUUAAGAAAUAACUUGAACUUAUCAUCACCCGACCCCUUUGUGAAUAAGGAUGGCAAAAGGCGGGCUUGGGGGCUUUAUUUAUUUUUUUUAAAUUUUUUAAAAUUAUUGUGAAUUUGAAAAGAAUUAAUGAUCAAGAAGUUGUUAUAAUCAUAAAUAAAUAAAAGAAAAUGAAUAUUUUAAAGUAAAAUAAUAAAUAAAGCAAACAAAAGCUUAGAAUUUUUUUUUUAACGCUAGAUUCUCUAAUUCAAACACUCUCUUAAUUAAUUAAUGUAUAAGAGAGUUUUUAGUAUCAUAAUUUUACCUUUUCUAAAUCAUCAUUGAUUUAUAAAUUAAGAAUUUAAGUUUUCUUUUUCUAUUUUUAUGCUACUUUUGAAUUUUAAUUAUAUUAUUCUAAUUUAUAAUUUUUUUUAAAAAAAAAUAGUGGGUCCGGACUUUUUUUCUUGAGCCCCUGUACACAUGAGGGCAGGGUCGAAGCCCGCGAGCCCGGGCUUUUUUGCCCACCCUAUUUGUGAAUUAUCAUCCAAAGUCCGGAAGUAAAUAAUAUCAUCCAAACCCUUGACUUCAUAUUAUUCUCAAUCCUUUACUUCUUUUUAGGGAUGGCAAUUUGCGGGCUUGGGCCGGGCUUUCAAGCCCACAUCAUUCAAACGAAGUACAGACCCUUCAAAAGCCCGUCCAAACUUGGACGAGCUGAACUCGGGCCGGGCUUGUGCUUUUUAAAUUAAUUAUAAAAUAUUUUUUAAAUUAAGAAAAAAAUUUAAAUUAAAGAUAAUCAUCUAAUAUAUAAAUAGAAUAAUAGUCCAAUACAUAAAAUAUUAGUAAUAUAACCUAAUAAAAUAACAAAUACUAAUAUAAAAAAUUAAACUAAUUUAAUAUUUUGAGUUUUUUCUUUUUUAUUUAAAUUAAAUUUAUUUUUUAUUCAUAAAUUUAAAAACCCCGGGCCAAGUCCGGGCUUUUUUGCUAAGCCCUUGUCCAGGCCCAACAUAUGUGGGCUUUAUAAUUUUUGGGCCCAUAUCCGGGCCCACCCUUGCGGGCCGGGCUUUAUGCCCGCGGGCCUGGGCCAGCUCGGGCUUUUUUGCCACCCCUACUUCUUUUAGUUUCCUUUCAAAUUCAUCCCCCAAUUCACAAUUUGUUUUCUUAUAUAAUUAAUAGUUCUCUACUUGAGGCUCCAUUUUCUUUUUCGAAGCUUAAUAUAAGGAUUAUAUAGAAGAAUGAUAUAUUAUCUUUAAAGGAGAAGCUAAGGUCUAGCUUUAGUAAUAGAUAGGACUCAGGUCUUGAGUUUGAACUUCACUAGUAUGCACACACACACACACACACACACACACACACACACACACACACACACACACAUAUAUAUAUAUAUAUCACUAAAGUGCGGGGGCUCUCAUUAUUUUAAAUGCGGACACUGUUGUUAAGUUGUGCGGUUUAAUAUGAUUAAAAUCUGACUCUAUUAAACCCAAUGGCUUAAAAGCGUAUUCGCAUGAAAAUAAAUAAAUAAAUAAGGGUGCCCGCACUAGAGAAGAACUACAUGUAUAUAAAAUUAAGACUUAGGUCUUGAGUUUGAACUUCAUUAGUAUACAAAGUCUAACGGAAAAAAGUAUUUAGGAUAUACAAAGAGUCAAAAUCUGGCACCUAUAAAAUAACAUUGAAUUCUCAUAUUCGAUUAUCAUACUUUUCAUUGGACCUACCUAGUGCAAAAAUAUUAUUCCCAUACGGAUUGCCCAUUCAUUGUUAAAAUAUAUAUCUUCCUUGAAUUCUUUAACAUGUCCACCACUUGUCCAAAGUACUGAAAAACUUUUGGAAAUGUACAACGAAACAAAUAAUUUGUUAUGUAGGGUUUCCAAGCUCUGGGUUUGAACUUAGUUUGUCGUAUAGAGACUUACAAUUCAGCUUCCAGACUUUGGGUUUUUGAAAGGGAUGCUGGUCUUCAUUAUAUGCUUCAUAUUUUUUGUUUUCUAGUUUCUAUUUCAGGGUGUUAGGCUGUUUUGUCCCCCAUUCUCUCGGUUGUUUUAUUACUUUUACUUUAUUUUAAUAAAAUCCUCUCUUGAUCUCGAGGUUAAUUUAUUUGAGGGGUAAAAAAAGGUAGAAUGUAGUUCGCAUAAAGCUAUGGAUAAUAUGAUUGCAUAUAAUGUUAUUAGGAGCUAACAAAGUUUUCAUAAACCUCAUUGAAGUGAGGCCAUUUAUUAAAUUAAAAGAGAUAAUAUUAAAACUAAAUCUUUAUAUAUACUUAUAUACAUGCGGGUAUCCUUAUUUUUUUUUAAUGCAGACAUGUUAUAAAAUCAUAUGAUUGAAUAAAGUCAUUGUUCAAUUUACUACAAAGCUAUAUAGUUUAAUAGAGUGUUUGCAUUAAUUUUAUUAAAGCAUAUGGUAUCAUAAUAUGUAUGCAUGAAAAAAAUGAGUGUGUCCAUGUAAGAGACAGACUAUAUACACACACUGGGGAUAAUUCCAUUAUAGUAUAUUGCUUAAAUUAGUUGUAUUAAAUUAAAAAUGAAAACAAUAAUGGUGUGUUUACUUGAGGGUUUAGGGAAUGUGAAUGAAACUCAUGUUUACUUGGCAAAAUGUAAGUUGGGAAUGAGAAUAAAAUGUGUGGGUUCCACAUAAUUUGGGAAUAAGAAAUUUGAAUCUCAUUCCCAUGGGGAGUUGGGAAUAGGAAUUCUCAUUCCUUAAACUGACUUUUUUAUCCUUCUAAUUUUUUUUCAUAUUUCUCGAAUUACCCUCGUUAAAAUCACAAUUAAUUUUAUUAUUUUACAUGUCAUUAUUAUUAUUAUUAAUAUUAUUAUUAUUAUUAAAUUUUAUUAACUUUAUUAUUUUAAUUAUUGUUAUUAUUAUUUUUAUUAAUAUUAUCAUUAUUAACAUUUAUUAUUAUUAUUAAUUUUAUUUUUUUAAUUAAUAUCAUUUUUAUAAUAAUAUUUAUACAAGUAUCUACUUAAUGAAAAUUAUAUUAUUUAAUACUACGAGUAUUUUGGUAAAUUGAUUCUCAUUCCCAUUUAUUUUGCCAAGUAAACACAUUAAUGAUAUUUCAGCAUAUUCCUAUUCCCAUUUAUUUUUGUCAAGUAAACAUUAGAAUCACAUUCACAUUCCAGCUCAUUCUCAUUCUCAACCUAUUCCCAUUCCACCAUAUUCUUAUUCUAUAAAAUUAACGUACCAUAAGAAGAAUCCGCCCGCAAAGAGCAAAUCUUCACAAUGAGAUACUACGAAGAAUUAAAAAAAAAAAGAAUCUACAAUAGAAAGACACCCUGUGUACAUGACUACAUGCUGUACAUAUAUAUACACACACACACAUAAAUCUAUAUCUAUAUAUACACACAUAUAUCAAACGUUAAUACUUUAAUCGAAGAAGAGACACGUGAAAAGAUCGCUUGUUGAUUAUUAAUGGUCAACAUUUUGACACUUGGCCACGUGAUGUAAACUUGUUUAAAUUCCCUGCCGAGGUCGGCAGAAUUGUAAAACAACUUGAAAAAUCGAGAAAAUUGGAUCAAUAUGUAAUUGUCAAAUGGAAUAGAGAAGAAGCAGCAACGUGGACCUGGACUUGGCCGUUAAAAUUUUGGUUCGAAGAACAUACCGAAUCUUUUUAUCACAUGUGAGAUUUAACAAUCCAACUACCGAUAACCUUUUUUUUUUUUUUUUAAUUUGUUUGCUGCACAUCCCACGUGCAGCAAAAUACUGGCUUUUGGAUUCAUAUCCAAAGGCACCAAAGAUCCCAGAUGCUUUUUUAAUCUGAGAAUUUUGGAUUUGAAAAUCCCCCUUUAUAAAUAGUAAUUUUUUAAUAAAGGAACCCUUAUUUUAAUAUAGUAAUUAGUAAAAGACAGCUUGAAAAUUGAAAUGAUCCAUUCUGAACUCUGAGUGAAUCUAUUUAAUUUCAUCUAAUAUGACUAAAUAAACUUAUUAAUAAGGAUGUUGCUGAAAAUUCAAUAGAAUUCUCUCUGUAUUUUUUACAUUUCCAUCUUGUAAAUAUGCAAAAUAAGGACUCUCAAAAUAAUUCAAUAGACAACCAAAUUGAUUAAUCAACAUUGUCAACAUGAUACCACACUUCAUAGUAAAUAAUAUAUUUAAACGUUUUCAUCCUAAAUGAUCUCAUCCAAAUGUCACUCAACAUCUACAAAGUAUCCAAAGAGUAUAUUUUAAUUAAUGCCAACAAACAUUAAACAUUGAAUAUAAAAAUAACUAUAGUCGUUGGGUCGAUUAGUGCACCUACAACCUCGUGGGAGAGGGGAAAUAUAAUAAAAUGAGGUAUAAAACUUAGUGAGUGGAUAAUAGGUUCUGAAAAUAAACUUAUUUUAAAAUAAUUAUACUAUUGCCAUAUACAAUAUCUCACACUGUACAUAAAAACAUAAGUAAAAUGUUUAAACUUUAAAUCAAGUAAUUGGUUGAUACUGUACGUAAUAAUCAUGGAAUCAUAUCAAAAGACUAUAAAUAUAUGAUUCUAAAACUUUCAUUAAACAAAUACUCAGGAAAAUAACCUUAUCAUACUCAGACCUCAUAUUGUGUGAUAAAUGACAUACUAAAAGUGUGUUAUCUGAAAUGCUAGUUAUGCAACCCAAGUGGAGAGGUGAAUUAGGUUUUUAAAACUUAAGCUAAAUAAAUCGCACAACAAUUUAAUCUAAUACCUUAAUGAAAUAAAAAAUAAUAAUAAAUUUAACAAUACUCAAAUAAAAAAUAAUAAAUUUAACAAUACUAAAAAAUAAAAGAGUAGGGGAAGAGAGAGCAAACACAAAGAAUUUUACGUGGUUCGGCAAUCCUGGCUUACGUCCACGCCUCCAAGCAAACCAAGCUUGAGGAUUCCACUAUUCAAACCUCCCAAGGCUUCAAAUAUUUACAAUUGACUUCUAAGGUGUCAAUGGACCUUUAUAACAAGAGAUUAUCCCCCAAUCUCUUAACUCAAGUGUUUCUCACACUCAAACUCUCAUAAAAUUGAUAAAGAAAUGAAGAUUACAACAAACAACUCUCUUUUAGAGUGAAUAUACAAAUGAUAGCUCAAUGAAGAUUUAAUCUUUAAUGAUUUGCGAAUUGGAAGCUCAAAAUAUGUUGUUUCAAACUUGUUUAUGCUUGUAAAAGUCUUAAAAUUGAAGUUGGAUUUGAGUUUAUAUAGCUUAAUCCGAAAAAUUAGCCGUUAUAGGUAAAUUCCAGCAAGCAAGCGGCUAGCCACUUAAUUUAGCCAGCUCUUCGCUUCAGAACAAUAAAGUUACCGUUAAAUUUGAAUUUGCUACAGUAAUACUGUUCAUAAAAUUGUAUUUUACCCAAAACUCUCUGUAAUUAUACUAUGGCCCAAAAUGAUAUAGAACUUUACAAAUAAGUCCAAUUUCAAAAUUUCUAAAUAAUACCUGUUAUUCCCAACACUGUCUGAUAUUACGAUAUGACACAAAAUAUAAUAAUAUUUUUCAAAAAGGUCCUUUUAAAAAUUUAACUAAAUACUUAUAAAUUUCAAAGUUUUUAAAAUCUUUUCAAUUUAGUCCAAAAUUUGAAAAUAUGAAAUUUUCCCCAGGUGGCUAGCCGCUAGGCCUCAGGCGGUUAGCCGCUAACUCUCUAUCUAUUUUUAAUAUUUAUACUUUGGCCCUUCACUUUUAGAAAUUAUAGUAUUACCCAAAAUGUUUGAAAAUUUUAUAAAUAGGUCUAAAUCCAGAAUUGAAAACAAGACUUAUUAAAAUCAAAGAUUGCAAAAUUUUUUUAUUUUAGUCCACAUCUUGAAAAACAACUAACUUCAUAAAAUAUUUAGCUUAUACUUGUAAAACAUUUGAUUUAUGAAAAAAUAAUGAUUUAUUAAACAAAAUCUUGAGCUUCUCAAAUGCUAAACCAUUUAUAUAUUAAACCAUACCGGCUUUAUCAAAUCACUUAAGACAUAUGUUUGUUAUCAUCAAAAUUACAUUAUGUGUAAGCCCUUUAGGCUAACAUUAUUGUGCCCGAAUUUACAACCAAUAGACCAAUGAUGUACCAUCUCAUAUAUCUUAUUAUAUUGCAUGCAUAAAGUAGCCUCCAAGGGGCAGAAGCCCCAAGCACGCGGACUAAGGCCUUGUAUGUGCUCAAACGGGUCCUAAAGUUCUCUAUCUCAACUUUAUUUAUGUAACAGAAUCUUUAUAUCUGGAGGGAGGGUAAUGUCUAACUAUUUUGAAAAUAAAAUCUUAUACAAAUGAAAAUAAGCUUUUAAACAUACUUUAAAUCUAUAUCCCUUUUCAUUAAAAUGCUUUCAUGUAUUUGCAAUCAAAAUAAACAAAGAAAACAUUAUCAUAUCUUUAAAGAAAUACAUCAAUAUACAAAUAAAAUUUGUUUUCUAGAAAACUUAAUCGAAGUUCCAAACAUUACUCAAUAAAUAUGCUUUAUGUUACUAAAAUUAAAAUUGUAAGAAAAAUAUGAAUGUAAGGUUAGUAUAUUCCACUCACAAUGAGACGCUCAAGUUUGGUUACUAUCGAUGGCCACAGAUUGAGUCAUAUUAGUGGCUCCUCCUAAAUAAAAAAACAAAAAAAAAACUACAUCAUUACUUUAUGAGUAUCAGAAAAUACAACUAACUUUAUGCGGUGUAACUACACAAUGGAUGUUUACCCUGGAACUUAUAACUUGCAGAUCCAUACUUGUAAGUUUAUAAUUACCAUAAUACCUUCAAAGCCAUAUAUAAUGCCUUAUGUCCAAAAUUCCAUAUUUCACCCUUAGUAAUUUAAUUUUAAUAUCGUAUAAUAGUACUAAUAAUUCAGAAAGGAGUUGUUUAUGUGUUUAAACUGACUAUACUGAAAGUUGUAGCUACUUCAACCUAAAAAAAAAAAAAAUCUCAUUACUAACUAUAAACUACUAAACAUAACAUAAAACUAUAGGCUAAUUACAUACUGAAUCAGGAAAACAGUAAGGGGGACAUGUUUGUGGCUCCACAACGCCUUGACUCCUAAACUCAUCCACCAAUUACAAAAAAUAACUUAGUAACCACUUUAUCUACAAAGCCUCAUAUGAUGCCAUUCUCGAGCUAGAUAACUAAUAUUUUAAGCAAAUUCCAUCAAAGGUAAAUAAAUAUCAAAACUACCCCUAGUCCACCAAUUAUGAAAAUUAGCUUAGGAGCAAACUGUAUCCAUUUCUGGGAAAUCCUAAUUAUAAAUAAAGUAUGCAAAUCUUUAAAUUAACUCAUUUCCAUAAAUUUAAUAUAAAUAGAGACAAAAUGACAGAAAUCUUAUUUCCUUGGGUGAGAAAUCCAAGUUGUAUGCUUAAUUUAUACCUCUCUCACUCUAAACACACAAUCUCUCUCUACACUUCUCUCCUUCAGUUCCUCCUUCGAUGGGUUUUCCUAAAUGAAUUUAAAAUUGGGAUAACUUCAAAGUGACUCCCUAAAUCAAUUUUGGAGGACCUAAAUCUUAAUUUUUCAUCAACCCAAACCCUUGAAACUUUUUUCCAUUUCCUUUUCGUUCUCCACCAGUAGCUUCUCUUCUAAAAAAUGAAAAUGCUUUUUCUUUUUUCUUUUUCUUUUUAAUUAAUAAGCUUAAUACAUAAAGACUAAUGGUGGGCUUGGCUUUUACUAAGCAGACUAAUGGGUUUUUAAAGCCUUAGGCACAAGACAAAUAAAAUAUUUAAUGGGUGCAUAUAUAUUACACAAGCCAAAAAAUAAAUAAACAAAAAUUUAAUAUAGAAUAAAAUAUAAAAAUCUUUUUUUAUCUUUUAACUUAUCUUUUAAUAAAAGAUUUUUCUGUUAAAAAAUUACUCCCUCUAUAUAUAUACACACACUCGAAGAACAGCCACGUGAAAAGAUAGCUUGUUUAUUAUUACGAGAAUAGUCAAAACUUUGAUGCUUGGCCAAGUAAUAUGAACCUGCAUAAAUUUCCUCCACAAGAUUGAUAGGUUUGUAAAACAAGUUGAGAAAUUAAUAUUCAAUUCUCAGAAAGAAAAUGGUUAUGGAGAUAGAAAUAAUUGCUCGAGAGUGCAUCAAACCCUCUUCUCCAACCCCACUUCAUCUCCAAUCCUACAAGCUUUGUUAUUAUUAUUAUUCUUAUUCUUAUUCUUGUAAUUGUUGUUAUUAAUAAUAAUAAUAAUAAUAAUAAUAAUAAUAAUAAUAAUUGUUGUUGUUGUUAUUAUUAUUAUUAUUGAAUAAUUAUAAUAACAAUCACAAUUUUUAUAAUAAAUAAUGACAAUAAUCAACUUAGAUCAUUUUACUGACUUGCAACAAUCCAUUCCAAUUUAAAGACAAAAUAAACAAAUCAACAACAAUACAACUCAUUUUAAUUCCGAUUCCCAUAAUUAAAGUAAAUAAUUUUAUUCUGAUUUACAUUCUCCAUUCUACUUUACCCCCAUUCUGAUUCUAAUUCAUUGCGAUUGCAGCCUAUUCCGAUUAUUGAUGGAUAAACACAUCACAAAAAAUAAAUAAAUACAGAUUCAACACAGGAUAAAAGAGCGAGAUUUUUUUUUCUUUUACUUUGUCCUCUAAUAAAAGAUUUUCUUUUUAUAAAAUUACUCUCUAUAUGUAUAUAUAAAUAUAUCAAAUAGUAAUAAUUAAUAUACUUGAAGAGCAGCCACGUGAAAAGAUUGCUUGUUUAAUUUAUUACGAGAAUAGUCGACACUUUGAUGCAUAGCCAAGUAAUAUGACCUUAUGACAAGAUUGAUAUAAUUGUAAAACGAGUUGAGAAAUUAAUUAUCAAUUCUCAGAAAGAAAAUGGUAAUGGAGACACAAAUAAUUGCAAGAGAAUGCAUCAAACCCUCUUCUCCAACCCCUCUUCAUCUGAAAUCCUACAAGCUUUGUCUCCUGGAUCAAUAUCCCAAUCACUUCUAUGCUCCUAGGUACCUUUUCUAUCCCUUUAACCUUUCCGGAACGGCUGAUAUUGGUGCUAUUGUAUCCAAGAGAUUGCAAAUUCUAAAGCAGUCUCUAUCGGAAACUUUAGUUCGCUACUACCCACUUGCCGGAAAGAUGACUGAUAAUUAUUCCGUGGACUGCAACGAUGAGGGGGUCUAUUUUGUAGAGGCCCGUGCUCUGAUUUCUCUUAAUGAAUUUCUCAGCAAACCAGAUCUAUCAUUGAUCUUCAAUAAAUUCUUUCCAGCAUAUGGCAAUGAUCAGAGUGGACAAAUAGCAGCAGCUCACGCGGCUAAGGUACAAGUAACAUCAUUUGCUUGUGGUGGUCUUGUUGUUUGUGCUGGUAUUUCACAUAUGAUCGGUGAUGGCACAACUUUCAGCUCGUUCAUGAAGAGUUGGGCUGCAACAGCUCGUAAGACUUUGGAAGAAGCAGUCUGUCGUCCCAGUUUUGAUGCUUCAUCUUUAUUUCCUCCACGUGAUGCAUACCCAAGAGAAGCAACCGCAAAAGCCCAAUUCGCCCGAUUUCAAAAAACGGGCAGAUUUGUUACGAGGAGAUUUGUAUUUGAAGCCAAAGCAAUAGCCGACCUCAAAGCCAAGGCUACCAGCUCCAGCGUUCAACAUCCAUCCCGUGUUGAGGUUGUGUCAGCAAUCCUUUCCAAAUGUAUCAUGACUGCCGUUAAAACAAAAACAGGUUCCCAUAAGCCAACUUUAUUGACUCAUGCUGUAAAUUUGCGUCGAAAGGCCAGGCCGCCAUUGUCAGCACAUUUAGUUGGAAACAUCAUUUGCCAUGCCAAUACAUUAUGCACAGAUGAUGAAGCAGACUUAGAUGGUUUGGUUUCCCUGCUUAGGGAAGCAAUAACAAAACCCGAUGCAGAUUUUGUGAGGAGUCUGCAAGGUGCCGGAGGGUUUCGUAAUUAUUUUCAAGCUCUGAAAGAUGAAGAUGAAGAGUAUGCUGAUGUGAAGGAUAGAAUUACUUUUACCAGUUCUUCUAGUUUUGGUUUUUAUGAGAUUGAUUUUGGAUGGGGAAAGCCUAUUUGGGUUGGCCUUGCUGGUUUUGGUGGAUCGAUUAUCUCGUUUGCGACUACUGUGGUUCUUAUGCAUACAAGGCUUGGAGAUGGGAUUGAGGCAUAUGUGUUUUUGCUUGAAGACUACAUGAAUUUUUUACAAGUUGAUAAAGAGUUACUUGCAUUUGCUACCUUGGAUCCAAGUCCGUUAGGGUAAUCUAAUCGGUAAGACUUGUUGUUUGGAACAACAUAAUAAUGGAGGGUAGAAACUUCUUUUUGUGUUUGGAUGAAGUAUUCUAAUUUUUUUUCCUCAUGUAAUUUGUUUUGUGUUGUUGUGAUGAUUUAAUUACUGUAAACCGUGUUUGUAUUCUGGAAGAAUUUAGUUUAAUCUGUGUCUGUCUUGGGAUUUGCGAUUCAAAAUAAAAGUAAUAAGGAUUGUCUUUACAGUAUUAAUACUAUAAUGCCAUGAUUAACUUUACAGUAUUAAUACUAUAAUUAAACAUAAAUUGUGUAAACAAAACAUAAAAUUUAUAAAUUUAAUAUAAAACUUGUAAAUCAACAUUAAUUAUAAAAUAAAAUAUAAAAAUUAAAAAUUAAACAUAAGAUUUGUAAAUAGAAGAUAAAAUAAGUAAAUUAAUAAAUUGAUACAUUUUUAGUAAAUAAAACAAAAACUUGCAAAUAUAACAUAAAACCCCUAAAUCAACAUUAAGUGUGAAAUAAAACAUAAUUUUUAGAAAUUAAACAUAAGAUUUGUAAACGGAAGAUAAAACAAGUAAGUUAAUAUAAUACUAGUAAAUUGAUGUACUAUUAGUAAACAAAGCAAAAGCUUGCAAAUAUAACUUAAAGCUAGUAAAUCGACAUUAACUGUAAAAUAAAACAUAAAUUUUGGAAAUGAAACAAAAGACUUGUAAAGAAAAGGUAAAACAAGUAAAUUUAUAUAAAGUUGGUAAAUUAAUUUAUUACUAGUAAAUAAAAUAAAAACUUAGAAAUAUAACAUAAAACUAGUAAAUCAACAUUAAGCGCAAAAUAAAACAUAAAUUUUAGAAAGGGAAAUUAUCAUUACACCACCUUUAUUUUGUCUUAUGUUUAUCCAACCACUAAAAAAUUCUAACAUGUACUUGCACCACUUUUUUUUUUUCAUAUUUGUAUCAACUAGCCACUUUUGCAUUAACACUAUUAAAUAAUUUUAAUAAAAUGAUAAUUUUACCCCCAAAUAAAUUAAAAGACCAUUUUAUUUUAUAAAAACUUUAAAAAUAAAAAAUAUAUAAUGAUAAAAAUAUCCCUAAAUUUAAUAAAAUAAAUCCCAAAAUUAGAAUUUUUAUUUUUAAUAAAAAUUAUUUUAAUAUAAAAUUAUAAUUAUAAAAAAGUGUAAAAUUUUGGGAUUACUAAAAAUCCCCUAAAUUAUUAAAAUUUUAGGAUUUAUUCUUUUAAGAAAUAAAUUCAGUUAUUUUAAUAAAAUUUUACAAAAUUAUAAUUUUUUAAUAACUAAAUUCCUUUAUUUUAUUAAAAUUUUGUAAAAUAAUAAUUUUUUUAAAAAGUAAUUAUUAAAAUUUUGUAAAAUCUAAAUUUAGUAAAAAUCAGUUGAGCACCUCUAUUUGGGAUUUAUUUUUUUUAUUAAAUUUAGGGAUAUUUUUAUGAUUAUAAUUUCUAAUUUUAAAAGUUUUUAUAGGAUGAAAUAGUCUUUUAAUUUAUUUGGGGGUAAAAUUAUCAUUUUAUUAAAAUUAUUUAAUAGUGUUAAUGCAAAAGUGACUAUUUGAUACAAAUGUGAAAAGAAAUGUGGUGCAAAGUAUAUGUUAAAUUUUUAUAGUGGUUGGAUGAACAUAAAGCAAAAUAAAGGUGGUGCAAUGAUAAUUUCCUUUUUUGAAAUAGAACACAAGACUUGUAAAUGUAAGGUAAAACAAGUAAAUUAAUAUAAAACUAGUAAAUUAGUAUAUCAAUAGUAAACAAAACAAAAAACUUGCAAAUAAAAUAUAAACCUAGUAAAUCAACACUAACUGGAAAAUAAAACAUUAAUUUUGGAAAUACAACAUAAGACUUGUAAAAGGAAUAUAAAAUAAGUAAAUUACUAUAAAGCUGAUAACUUGAUGUAUUACUGAUAAAUAAAAUAAAAACUUCCAAAUAUAACAUUAAAAGAAGUAAAUCAACACUAAGUGCAAAAUAAAACAUAAAUUUUGUAGAUUAUGCUUAAAACUUAUGAAUAAAAGGUAAAAUAAAUAAAUUAAUUAAUUAAUAUAAGAGCUACUGUAAAAAAAAAAUUCACAAUUGUAAAAUGAAAACUCAUUAUAAUGUUUAUUACUUUAUAUAUUUAUUGAUUUUUUAAUUUAAAUUGAAUAAUGCUAGUUUCGUAUUUAUGUAAUACAUGUGAUGUUUUAUUAAGGAUGAAAUUUAUUCUCAAAAUUGAAUUUUGAAAAAAUAUUAUUUUAUUAUCUUUCAUAAUUGUUGUAAGAUGAGGUCAUUUUGCAUCUUUCUACAUUUCUUCAAUAACAGUCCUAAAUGGUCUUUGAGUACAAGUAAAAAGUUUGAAACUACGUGAAGUAUGCAUAAGACUCAAAAUUAGACAUAAUUUUAUUGAUGUAUCAUAUAUGUGUCUAGUGAUGUAAAAAAAAAAUUUAUUUUUUUUUCUUGAUCCAUAUCAAGAUAAAUAAUUGUGCUUAAUUAACUUGUGUAAUAAAUAGAUACUAUUAUAGAAAAGGGAAAAAAAUAUACAAAUGUUCUAGAAUAAAUAUAGAAUUUAUGGUUAAACCAAUUCAAUAAAACUUAUUCCACUUUUUUCAGCAUAAUUUUUUUGUUUAAUUAAUGAAUAAUUUUUUCUUUGUUUAAUUAAAGAUUUUUUUUGUAAAUGAAUAAAAUAUUUUUCACUAAAAUUCUAUAGAAACAAUGUUAAUUUUUUAAAUAAUUAAUAAUCUGGCAUGAAUUUACUGAUUUUACUUUACAUUUGCUAGUUUUAUAUAUAAUUUACAAUACUUAUAUUUAUCAUGAUAUCGACGCUGUAAUUUUUAUUACGACAUUAGAAUUUUCAUGAAAUUAAUGUUUGCAAAGUGUGUCUUAAAUAUAUCUAUUAAUGUUUGGAUUGACUUAUUUUUACCCUAAAUAAAUACUCAUUAAAUAAAUUAACAAAUUGAUUUUUGCUUUACACACCUUUCCCAAUACUAAAAAGUCUUAGUUAAACCAUUUGUGAAAUAACCCGUCCUGAACCCCCAAGACGAGUCUAUCUAGUCUCAUCAAAACUAGAUAGAUAAUAAUAUAAUUAGUAAGGAUUUUUCCGAAAAUUCAGCAAAGUCUCCUUUAUGAAUAUAACACUCUCAGUCCACAAAUAUGUAAAACAAGUACUCCCAAAAUAAUUCAAUAUACAACCAACUCCAAUUAUCAACACCCUCAACAAAAACACUAAAUUUUACUCAAGAUAUCUCCAAGGUAUCAAAAGAUUAUAUUAUAACUAAUAUUAAUAUAUAUUGGUUUAUUCUUAAUAAAAAAAAUACAAUAAAAUUAUACAAUCCCAAAAAAAAAAAGAGAUGAUUAGUAUGUCCUAAUAAAAAUCACUUAUAUCUUUUAACACCAUCAUGUGGCUAGACUCAAAAUAUAUUUACAGUAGCUGGGUUGAUCUUGUGUACCUGCAACCUCCUGUUGGGGGGGGGGGGGGAUAUAAUAAAAACGAGAUGAGUAUAAAGCUCAGUGAGCUCAGUGAGUGGAUAGUAGUUUUUGAAAAUAAAUUUUUAUUUUUUAAAAUAAUAACCAUAUCAUUUUUUAACACAAUUUCAUCAAACCAUAUACGAGAAAACAUUAAUAAAUCAUUUAACAUCUAAAUCAAAUUACUAACCUUAAAGAUCAUAUAUAAUAACGUAGGUAAUAACCAUGCAAAUCAUAUCACAAUAUCAUAUAAAAUACACAAAUAUGAAAUCAUCACUAAACAAGUACCUAAGGGAAUAAUCUCAUUGUAUCCAGACCUCAACGGACAAGCAAUGAUGUACUAGCUAGGUACCGUCAUGCCCUGGAGUUACACGGAUAGACAUGGAAGUACAAUCUCAUAUCUUGUCAUAUAUCUCAUCAUAUUUGUGCAUGCAUAAUCUAGUCCCCAAAGGACAAAAACGCCCAAGCACACAACCCAAAGCCUCUUUGUGUACUUAAAUAGACCCCAAAGGCCUGUAUCUCAUCUAUAUCAUUUGUAUCUAUAUCACUGUUAUCAUCAUACCACAUGCAUAUGCCCCCAAAAGGCAGAAUCACCUAAACACACGGCCCAAAACCUCUAUGUGUGUUCAGAUGGGCCCCAAAGACCUCAUAAUAUCUGUAGCAUUGUAACCGGGGAAUGAUACUGUCUAAUGAUUUUACGAGCAACAUCUUAUACACGUGUACAUGAAUAUAAAAUCAUACUAUAAAUCUCAUUUCCUUUUUGUUUAACAUAGUUUAAAUCUAUUUUCUUUUCUUUAUCACAUCCAAAUCCACUUUUCUUAUCUUUAAAACACUAUCAUAUUUUAUCCAAAGUCGAUAUAGAAAACCAUUAACCAACCAUUUUAAUAAAAUAUCAAUGUGUGAAUUAAAUAUAUUUCGAGAAAAUUAUUAAAUCAGAAUAUUUAAAAUACUUAUUUCGCAAACAUGCUUUACUAUCAUAAUUAACCAUGAAAACAUGUUUCGUAUAUUUCACUCACAAUGACGACGCUUAGACUUGGUUAUCGUCCACACCUGCAGACCUGUUCUCGCUCGCGGAUCCUCCUAAAUCAAGGAAACGACAUAAUUAUUUUUCGUAAAUUUAAAUUAAGACUAAAUUUAUGCAAUGAACUCGAAACGAACAUCUAUCCAUAAUUUACAGCUCCUGAGCGAUAAAAUUACCAAAAUACCCUCGAGUUCGUAAAUCAUUAAAAUACUCUGAAAUCAUAAAUCAUAAAUCAUCGAAUUACCUCGGAAUCGUAAUUACAACCAAUCCUCAAUUUCAGAACUUACUAAAACCUCUACAAGGUCAGAAAUCACAAAAUUGCCCUCAAAAUAUGAAAUUACCGAAUUGCCGUCACCGGUCAAUGGUGACCGGAAUUCAGUCAACGGUGGUCGGGAAGCUCAGGUCUAAUAGUUCCAGUCCAAUGGUGCCGGCGGUGACCUCCCACACGCGACGAUGGUGCUGGAAUCUAUCUCGACAACUGUGAACCUCCAAGUGGCCGUUCGAUGACAAUCUGGCCAUUUUAGGUGAUGGGUCCGGUCGGAAAAUGAUGGGGGUGAGCUGAGGAGUGAAACCCAGCCGAUGGCAUGCUACAAAUCCGGUGAAAUUGACGACGACGGUGACAACUGGGAUAUAACGGCCAGUCUUCAAGCUUCAGAUUGGUACUGUGCUCAACCGGUGAGGUGGCUGAAAAUCGGAUAUGGCCGGGUCGUGGGUUUGGGUUGAGUUUCAGGUCAGUUUGAUGGCUUCCUCUCUCUCACGUGUGAACAUGCUUCCCCCUUUCUAUUCUAGCUUUUUCUUUUAUUAUUUUACUUUUUAACCGUCUCUUUUUUUUUUUUUUUGAUACGUUACAAUUUGUUUGUUAUUUUCUCUUUAUUUCUAUUAAAAUAUUAUUUAUCAUUUGAAAAUUAUAAAUAUAUUCAUAUUUUACAUUACAAGUGACGAUAUAAAUUAUAUUCAUAUUUUACACCUUUCUGAAUACCAAAAAAAUCUUUAAUUAAACCAUUGUUUGUUAUUUUCUCUUUAUUUUUAUUAAAAUAUUAUUUAUCAUUUGAAAAAUUUAAAAUAUAUUUGCUUUACAUUACGAGUCACGACGUAAAAUAUAGUCAUAUAUUACACCUUUCCGAAUACCAAAAUGUUUUUAGUUAAACCAUUUAUUUGUUUGUUUUCUCUUUAUUUCUAUUAGAAUAUUGUUAAUCAUUUGAAAAUUAUGAAAUAUAUUCAUAUUUUAUAUUAUGAGUCAUGAUAUAGAAAGUUCCUACUUCCUAGGGUCAAAGGAUGAAUCAUAUAAUGAUUUUUAUCAAUUAAUUAAAUGUGUAGGCACUCUCAUCACCACAGCAUGCUAUAGCGAUGCAACUGACUAAUAAAAAAUAGCUACAUGAGCUGGUGAGUGAACCCACCCUCUUUAAUAUUAUAAAUAAUUAUUUAAAAUUAAAAAUUAGCGAGUCCCACCACCUCAGUCAGCACCUGAGUAGAGGUGUAGAGUUCCUCCAACAGCGAAUCUCACAAGCCAGCAGCAAAAGAGCACGUAACAAUCGCAUGCAAGGUAUGUGUCAUCAUUUCAGAAACAUCAUAGAACAAAGAAGCUAAUUAAGUAAGGUGAUAGCUGAUAAGUUAAUGAGCAAUUAUAUAUUGUUUAUAUAUAAGUUUUUGGAAUUAUAAUGACAUUACUAGUGAUAUUUUUUAAUAAAAAAAAAUUGAGACUAGUCGAUAUCAAGCGCGGUUCGAAUUACUGCGUCUAUAUUGAGGAAGAAACUAUUCCCGCUAUUUGGUAGAUCUAAAAACAAAAUAAUGAUUAAAAUUUGAGCCUAACCAGAACGUCAAUUACUCAAUUUAAAGUUAGGUUGGUUUAAAAUAUUUUCAAACUAGAUUUCUUAAUGAGUUGAAUGAACCAUUGGCAACCUCUAAAAACCUUUUAAUACCCUUAGAUAUGUUAUAAAUUUAUCAUUCAUUAACAUUAUAUUUUUGGACCAAAAAUAAAAUUUAAUAAAACAUGCUCUCCAUUUUAAGCAAAUGUUCACAUUAUAAACCAAAAAGAAAAUAUAUUUUGCUAAAAAUUACCAUGCAAUAAAAAAAAGCGUAAGUUUUUAAAUUUUGCAUUAUUAAAUAUAAACAAAGUUUUUUGGUUAUAUGUUCAAUUGUAAUGAUGAGAAAGAUGAAACAUUAAAAAAAUAAAAUAAAAUUGAGGAAAAUGCUUAAUUAAGUUUAUUUUUUGUCAUUUGAGGAGAUGUUAUGAGAAAUUAUAUUAUUUUUAAAUUUUAAUUAUUUUAGCUGGGGUGACCAAAGGAGAGGGGUUGUAAGAGAGUUUUAGAGGGAUGCCGAUAGUCAAACUCUUUCUUUGUUUUGGAUAACCAACCCAUGGCUCACUUCUAUUUAAGACCCCGUUUGGGAUUGAGGUUGAAAUUCAAUAAGUUGCUUAUUUUAUAAUUUUUGACAAAAAUCAUGUUUGAUAAACUUUGUAAAAUUUGCUUAUUUCAUAAUUUUCUCCAUUUUAACUGUAUUUUUUAAAAGCAAAUAGAGGGUUGCUUUUCAUAAGCAGCUUAUUCAGUAAGUUACUAUCCCUUUUUAAAAUUCCUACUAUAAUCUUAAUAUUUUAACAAAAAGAUAAUUAUGUCCUAUUUUUCCAUACACCUAAUAAAUAAGCCAUUAGAUAUCACAUUACCAGCGUAAUUGAAUUACCCUUACAUUAUAAAGCUUUGAUCCAGUAAAUUUAUAUUUUUCAUACUUUACUUUUAUUUCUUAUUAUGAGAUUUAAUAAGACUUGCAUAUGAUUACGUAAAUUUUCUUUGAACUAUGAACAAUUUCACAUGAAAUUUAACCAUGAAUUUUAAAAUUAAUUUCAUAACUAUUGAUUUUAACAUUCAAUCAUAUAUAUAUUUUUCUAUAUACAAGGUGUUUUAUUGCAAUAAGUUUAAUAUGACUGUAAUGCAUAUAAAUUUUUUAUUUUAUUUGGAUUAUGUAUUCGUAUGAAUUCUUAUCAUAUUUUAUGUAACAAAUUAUGAAGUUCAUUAGAUUUCAUAUAAUUGAUUUUUUUUUCACUUUAUGUAAUUUUAUAUAUUUUAAAAAGAAAAAGGCAUGUCUAAACAUUAUUAAACAUACUCUAAAAAAUAAAAAGUAAUUUAAAUUAUGUCUAUUUUGUUCAUUAUAUAAUAAAACAAUACUUUCAUAAAAAAAUUUACCAAACACAUGUACACUGCUUUUUAAACUCACAACAAUUAUAAUAACACAAUUUAUCAAACACCAAUCUGCUUUUUUUAAUCAGCAGCUUAUUUACUUCGUACAACAGAAACAACUUAUUUUUUCAGUUACCGCAAUUCCAAACUAGCCCUAAGGAUAGAGUGGGACUAUUGGUUCCUCUAAAUAUUUUUGAAAAUUUGUUUAAUUAUUUUAUAACUUUACCCUUUAUUAGAUUUAUAUAAGAUGACAAAUUCUAAUUAAACCCCAUCUAAAAGUCAAAAAAAUUUAAUAAAAAUUCUAAUAAUUAAAAAAAAAGCAAAUAAAAAGAAAAGCUAGUCAACGAAAAUAUUAGACAAUUAAUUUGAAACCUUUUCAUUGGUCAAUUUAUUCAUCUAAUGUUUUUGGUCAUUUUAUUCAUUAUGUUUAGGAAAAACUUUGUAAAAGCUAGCAUUGGUUUUUUUUUUGGAUGCUGCUCAUGAUCAUAAUAUGUUUUAAAAAAAAAAUUCACUAGUAUGCAUACAUACAUGAUGUCGAAGAGAAAAAUGAAGCAUGCAAAUCCAUGGAGCAUGGAGCAUGGAGCAUGGAGCAUGAGAGCAUGUAAAAGAAUUAAUUAAAGUGGAGCAUGAGAGCAUGAAAAAGAAUUAACUAAAGUGGAGCAUGGAGCAUGGGAGUAUGAAAAGACAAAAGUCACCAGGAAUCAGGAACAAAAAAAAGUAAAAAGUAAAAAGUAGAAAGCAUGAAAAGACAAAAGUCAUCAAGAACUAGGAACCAAGAACCUAGAAAAGUCAAAAGUGAAAAGUGGAAAUAUGAAAAGGCAAAAGUCACCCGGGACUAGGAACCAGGAAUCAUGAACCAUAAAAGCAAAAAAUAAAGGGAAAAGUGGCCUGCAAGACACAACGGAAGCAAAGUGUAAUAAAAUUAUAAUUAAGUAGGAAAAGUUGACUAAAGUAAGGAAUUAGUGAAGACUUAGGAUACUAAAAAAUUGUAUUAUAAAUAGAGAGUUUUAGAGGUAUAGAAGACAAGCGAAAACAAAUUUUCAAAAGGCGAAUAUCAAGAAAGAAAAGCUCUGUUGUAAUCAUUGGUUAACAAUGGAAUUUACUCUCUUGACUCUUGUGGACGUAGGCUAAGCAAUGAACCACGUAAAUCCUUGGUGUUUUGCUCUUUAUAUUGUCCCUUUUAUUCAAUUUUUUGACUGACAAAAAAUUGCGUCAACAAUACAUACAUAUUAUAAUAUGAUAAUACAAUAACUCCUACGAUCCGAUUGUUAAAUCAAUUGAUACCUGUAAGGCACAAAAUCUAACAGAAAAAGUAUUUAGUAGGGAUGGCAAUGGGGAGGGGAGGGGAGGGGACCAAUCUCCCCAUACCCAUCCCCGAUAUUUUGUGUAUGUCCCCGUCCCCUCCCCGUCCCCGCCAGAAUUGUUUGAGAGAAUCCCCAUCCCCUCCCCGAAUAAUAACAGGGGAUCCCCGAGGGUCCCCGGUCCCCGAAUAACUAAUAGUCUAAUACAUUUUUUUUUAUUUUAAAUUAAUCAUAUUAAAAUAAAAAAAUUCAGAUGAAAAUAAAAUUUAAAAUAUAUCUUACAUUAAUAUUGAUCCAUUACAAAGUCACAUUCAAAAUAUAAAUUAUUAAAAUAAUUAUCUUUGUCAAUGACUCAAUCUUCAUAAUCCUACAAUAAAAAGAAAAAAAUUAUUUUUAUAUCGGCAAUAAAAUAAAUGAAAUAAAUGUAGAUACUUAAUUAAUAUUUUUAAUAAAACUAUUUACCUCCUGCUCGUCCUGUUCUUCCUCGAGAAAUGUGACAAAUUGAGAGAUAAGCUCAGAUUUCAAACCUAAAACAAUAAAAAUGAUAUAAGUAAAGUAACUUAUAAGUGCAAAUAUUAAUAACUGUAUAAUAUAAUUACAAUGUAAAAUAAAUUCAUACUGCUAUUGUAAGCUCGUAACCAACUUUGACAGCACAUUAAGGCCUCCAAUGUGCUUGGAUGAAGUUUGUUACGGUGUGGGCUCACAACUCUACCAUCGGUGCUAAAAGCUGAUUCAGAAGCAACUGUUGUAAUUGGAAUUGCCAAAAUAUCUCUAGCAAUUCGAGCUAAUGUAGGAUACCUAUUAGCAUUUAAUAAUAUAAAUAUUUUGAUAUUUAUUAUUUUUAACAAUAUUUAUAAUUUUGUUAUUUAUUUAUUAGUAGUCUUAAAAAUAAAAAUAAAAUUAAAAAUUAAAAUGGGGAAAUGGGUAGGGGAUGGGGAUUCCACCUCAUCCCCGUCCCCUCCCCGAAUAAAAAAUUGGGUAAAAAAUUUUCCCCGUCCCCUCCCCGAAUAAAAAAUUAGGUAUAAAAUUAUCCAUGUACCCUCCCCGAAUAGGGAAAAUCCCCGAGGGUACCCGUCCCCAUGGGGAUUUUUGCCAUCCCUAGUAUUUAGGAUAUACAAAGAAUCAAAAUCUGGCACCUACAAAAUAAUAUUGAAUUCUCAUAUUCGGUUAUCAUCCUUUUCAUUGGACCUACCUAGUGCAAGAAUAUUCCUGUACGGAUUGCUCAAUCACUGUUAAAAUAUGUAUCUUCCUCGAAUUCUUUUAACACGUCCACCACUCUUUGUCCAAAGUACUGAAAAACGUUUCCAUUUUUGUAGUAUUGAGACUUACCGUUCAGCUUCCAAACUUUGGGUUUUUGAAAGGGAUAUUGGCCUUCAUUAUAUGCUUUAUUUUUUGUUUCCUAGUUUCCAUUUUAAGGUGUUAGGCUGUUUUGUCUCCCAUUUUCUCGGUCGUUGUAUUAUUUUUACUUUAUUUUAAUAAAAGCCUUUCUCGGUCUCGAGGUUAAUUUAUUUCAGAGAAAAGAGAAAAUGUAAAAUAUAGUUCACAUAAAGUUAUGAAUAAUAUGAUUGCGUGUUAUAUGUUAUUAGGAGCUAACAAAUUUUUAGGUAAACUUCACUGAAGUGAGGCCAUUUAUUAUAUAUAUAUUAUGUGGAUACACUAUAAAGUCAUAUAUUUAUUAGAGUCAAUAUUUAUUUUACUAUAAAGUUAUAUAGUUUGAUAGAGUGUCUCCAUUGACUUUAUUAAAUCAUAUGGUAUGAUAAUAUGUCCGAAAGAAAAAAAUAAAAAUGUUCACAUGAGAGAAGGAUUAUAUAUAUAAACACACAAUGAGCAUAAUUUUGUUGUAAUAUAUUGCUUCAAUUAGUUGUACACAAUUUAAAAUGGAAAAAAAAACCUGUAAAGAGCAAAUCAUCAACUAAUAAGAAAAAAAAUACCCCGUACGCAAGAUGUGUGUGUGUCUAUAUAUACGUAUAUAUAAGUAUACAUCAAAUGUCAAUACUUUAGUCGAAGAAGGGACGUGAAAAGAUCGGUUGUUUAUUAUUAAUGGUGAACAGUUUGACACUUGGCCAAGUGAUGUGAACUUGUAUAAAUUCGUUGACGAGAUCGGUAGAAUUGUAAAAAAAGUUGAAAAAUUAUACAUAUCGAGAUCGAGAAAAUUGAAUCAAUAUAUAAUUGUCAAAUGGAAUGGAGAAGAGGCAGCAACCUGACCGUCGACUGGGCCGAUAAAAUAUUAGUUCCAAGAACAAAUAGAAUCUCUUUAUCACAUGUGGAUUCUCGGUUUACCAAUCCAACUACCAUUACCUUUUUUUUCCCCCUUCAAAUUUGUUUGCUGCACAUGACAUCCCAUGUGCAGCAAAAUAUUGGCUUUUGGAUUCAGGACACUGAAGUAUACUAGAUGUUUUAUGUAUCCGAGAAUUUUUGGAUUUGAAAAUCUCCCUUUAUAUGUAAGUGUGUGUGUAUAUAUAUGCUUAUUUUCAAGUGUGGAUGUCAGUAAGUGAGUCUAUCUAAUUUCAUCUAACAUGACUAAACAAACAUAUCAAUAAGAAUCUUAUCGAAAAUUCAAUAGAGUCCCCUAUAUUUUUUACAUUUCCAACUAUUAAAUCUGUAAAAUAAGCACUCCCAAAAUAAUUCAAUAGACAACCAGGUUCAUUAAUCAACCUUCUCAACCAUAAUACCACACUUCAUAGUAAACAAUAUACUUAAGCAUUCUUAUCCUAAAUGAUCUCAUACAAAUACCACUCAAUAUCUCCUCAAUAUCAAAAGAGUAUAUUUUAGCUAAUGCUAACAAACAUUAAACAUCCAUAUUCAUCAAAUCAUAUUAUAAUUAUACAAUUCAAAAUGAGGUGAUCAAAAUGCCCUAAUAAUAUUAUCUAUGUCUCCUAGCACCAUCACACGGUCAAAACUCAAAAUUAACUAUAGUCACUAGGUUGACUGGUUUACCUACAACCUCCUACGGGGGGACGGGGUCAAAUAUAGUAAAAUGCGGUGAGUAUAAAACUUAGCGAGUGGAUAAUAGGUUUUGAAAAUAAACAUAUUUUAAAAUGAUUAUAUUAUUGCAAUAUACAACUGUGCAAGUGUGUAAAAUGUCGCAACUAUUAUAAGACCCUAGCAUUCUAUUAGUGCAAAAAAAUACAUUUUUUGGAUAAGAAAUAUGUCCUCUGACUAUUUACUGGACUAUAGUCGUAUAUUUUAGCAAAUUGCAUACUUCUAUUAUGUAUGUAUAAAUUUACACGACUGCAGUCAUGUAAAUGGGUAGAUGGUUCCACAUGCUGUUAUAUGCCUUCUUUGAUUUUAUUUUUGUAUUUGUUAUAUAAUUAUUAUAUGUUGUAUUAUUAUAGGAAAUGAGUUCAGUACAUAUGCCUAUUAUGUUUCAUGGUGAAUGGAUUAAGCAAAAUGACCAUUAUAGAUUUAAUGUUACAAAUAAAAUGGUGACACUAAAUAUGCAUGAGUUUAUUUUUAAAGAUGGUGACCAUGAUGGUCAAGUCAACAUUCUUGAUAAGACAUGCAAUUGUCAGGAAUUUCAACUCGAUCAACUAUCUUGUGAACAUGUAUUUGCAUGUGUAGGUAUGGACAAACAUUAUCUAUAUAUGAUAUGUGUUCUCACUACUAGCUGGGCAGAGUGUUUGGAGCUGAUUAAUAGCUAUGAUAAUUGAGUAGUAACUUGUGUUUACUUAAAGCUUAUUUAUAAUUCUGACAUGUAUUAGACUUAUGCUAUUUGAUGUAAAAAAAUUAUUGUUAUUUUAUGUAUUGAAGUUUGAUAUAUUACAGCUUAUGUUGAUUGUGUUAUCAUCCUGAUGAGUGUUUUAGCUAGCUUUUAUUCUCCGUCCAUUUACUCGACUACAGUCGUGUAUUUAUGAAGUUACCCGACUCUUGUUGUGUAUAUAUAAAUUUACUCAACUAUUACCAUUUAUUAAUAUAUGAAUAAUUGAUGUUUAAUUGAUGGGUAAUGAUUUACAAGUGUCAAAUGAUCAAGAAUAACAAGAACAUCAUGAAUUCCAAUGACAGAGGUGUGUAGAAGGUAUUCGACUUUAGUCUUGUGUAUUUAUGAAGAUAUUUGACUGUAGUCGUGUAUAUAUAAAGUUACUCGACUCUACUCGUCUAUCUAUGAAAGUACUUAACUGUAGUCAUGUGUAUAUAUGAAGAUACUCAAUUGUAGUCAUGUAUCUAUAAAGCUAGCUAAAACAAAUUGGGUUAAGCAUUCCUUCAAUGAUUAUGACCAUCCUGUUAUAUCACAUAUAUGAUGCAAAACUAUCUUUCGUUCUUCCAAUAAUACAUUUAACAAAAAAUAAAACUUAUAUAUGAUACAAAUCUAUCUUCAAUUACAUCAAAUGUCAACUACAUCCCCAUUGCAACUGUUAUAUCUCAUAAUAACUUAUCCAAAAAAUGAUGACAUCCUAGUGCUAGAGUUCUUUGAGGGCGUGACACAACAUAGUUGGUUUCGACAACCUAUGUUCAAAUAAUUUAAUAGCCAAUGCUUGUCUAACAUCAUUUUGUUGGCAAUAUAUGUUGAUGUCAAGGCCAUGGGCUAGGGCCUCCAAGUAUCGCAACAAAAUUAAUUGCUCCACAAUCACCACUAAAUAACAUUCUUAUUUAAGGUAAAAGAGCUAAGCUAAACAUCUAAGGGAAAUACAACAUAGACUACACUAAACCAAAGCACGUCCACAAAUAAACAUAAACCCAAUCGAGUUUUGUUCCUACACACCACUUUCAAGCCAAAUUUACCCACAAAAAUCUCAACCUAAAAUUCCUCAAAACUAUAGCUUCUAAAUUGUAGACCAAAAUGUAGCUUCUUCUAUGACAUUUAUGUAAAGAAACAAGCCCAAAAACAGCACAAGCCCAUUCAAUUCUUAGAAAAACUUCUCCAAAGUCUAUGUGGACUAAAAUGAUGAAUCCAAAACUUGAGCUUGUUAAACGACAACGUUUAGACUAUGUUUAAUAUACUCAGGAGUCACGAGCAUGACAUGUGAGUUACUUAAGUUCAAAAUGGUAGGAGCUUAUGACGUUUUAAUUGAAGGCUUAAGUAGAACAUGUGGAGUGCACGUGGGGUGGAGAAUCAAGUUAGUUACGAAGCUGUUAGUACAGGUGGCAAGAAUAUGUGCAUUCUGGAUUUGUUAACAGCUGUUAUAUAAGCUGGUUAAUAGAGCAGUUUUGAGGAUAAUUUGAGAUCGUGAUAGAGAGAGUUAUAAUAGAGAGAAAGCUUAGUCUUGAUCCUAGUUGUUAGCUCUUGCAUUACUCUAUAAAGAUUACUUGAAUCAUCAAUAAAGCUUGCUCUGUGAGCUUUUCCCGUGGAUGUAGAUUGUGCUUCUUUGCACAAUCGAACCACGUAACUCUCUGUUUUUCUUUAGCUUAUUGAUUAGCUUUUAAUUCUUGUUCUGGUGUGUUCUAAUUACAGCCAUUCUCAUAUAAGAGUUUUGUUAACACUUAAAGCUUGAUUGUUUAGGAUCUUAGCAUCUUGUUGGUCUGAUUUGUGAUCUUGGAUAGUGCUUGGGUUGCUAAUCAAUUUCUACAGCACCCAAAUCACUACACUUGGUAUCAGAGCAAGGUUAACAAAUCAAGAUCCCUGUAUGGCUACUCCAAAGAUCGACCUUGAGAAGUUUAACGGAAAAAAUGACUUCAACAUGUGGAAAGUAAAAAUGGAGGCUUUGCUGGUUACUCAAGGGCUUGGUGAUGCAAUCCAACCAGUGACCAAGAAGGAGGGUAAAGAGUUCUCUACAUCAAAGACUCCUGAGCAGGUUGCUGAGAUUGAUAGAAAGGCUAGAGGCAUGAUAAUCUUGAGUCUUACAGAUUCUGUAAUAAGGGAGGUGGCUAAAGAACCCACUGUAGCUGAGUUGUGGGCCAAACUAGAGAUUAUUUACAUAAAGAAAUCCCUGGCAAAUAGGUUAUACAUAAAGAAGAGAAUGUUCACGUUAAAGAUGAUGGAGGGUACAUCAUUAGAUGAUCAUAUUGAUGAGUUUAACAAAGUGUGUGACACCUUAAAAACUAUUGAUAUAGCCCUUGAUGAUGAAGAUAAAACUCUUCUGUUGAUAAGCUCUCUGCCAAAGACAUAUGAGAAUUUUGUUGAUGCCUUGAUGUAUGGUAGACAGACACUAUCUCUGGAUGAAGUAAAAUCAGCACUCAGCACAAAGGAACUGCAAGGUAAACAAGAUCAUCUGGGAGUUGAAUCAGGUCAAGGUUUAAUAGUAAAAGCCAAAUCAGAUGGCAAGAAAAAGAAGCAAGGCAAGUACAAAGAAAAGCCAAAGGAUCUGAAGUGUUUCUUGUGUCAUAAAGAAGGACACUUCAAGAAAGAUUGCCUAGAAAAGAAGCUUAAGAAGAAAGGGCAAAAUGGAGGUGCAGCAGUAGCUGAAGAAGAAGGCUAUGAAUCUGCUGGAGUGUGCAUUGCCACAGACAGCAAAGACAAAGGUAAAUGGGUUCUUGACUCAGGGUGCACUUUUCAUAUGAGCCCAUAUAAGAGUUACUUUACAGAUUAUUAUAAGUAUAAUAGUGGUAGAGUAAUGAUGGGGAAUAAUGUUGUGUGUAAAAUCAUGGGAAUUGGCAAUAUUAAUCUUAAGCUACAUGAUGGAACCAUUAGGGAGCUGAAACAAGUCAGGUAUGUGCCUGAGUUGAAAAGAAAUCUGAUUUCUUUGGGAAUGUUUGAUCAGAUGGGGUGUAGUAAGAUUGAAUCAGGAGAGUUGAUGAUUGUCAAGACUUAAUAGGUUGUUAUGAAAGGUAGCAGGAAGAAUGGGGUGUUCAUUUUAGAUGGGGAUGUAGUUAGUGAUGAAGCUAGAAUAUCAGUAGCUGAUACCAUUGAUAAAAUCAAAAUUUUGCAUCUGAGGUUAGGGCACAUAGGUGAAAGGGGCCUUAAAGAACUUGAGAAACAAGGUGUAUUAGGGAAUGAUAAGCUUGGAAACCUAGACUUCUGUGAAGAUUUUGUACUAGGCAACGCAAUAAGGUCUAGCUUCAAAAGAUCAGUACAUAAGUCCAAGGAUAAGCUGUAGUAUGUUCAUUCAGAUUUAUGGGGGCCUGCUCAGCAGAUAUCUCUAGGUGGUAAUAGUUAUUUUUUAUCAUUCAUUGAUGAUUACUCCAGAAAGGUAUGGGUCUAUACCUUGAAGAAUAAAGAUCAAGUGUUUGAUAAGUUCAAAGAGUGAAAGAUUUUAGUUGAAAAUCAGACUGGAAAGAAGUUGAAAAAACUUAGAACAGACAAUGGCUUAGAGUUUUGUAAUCAGAGGUUUGAUAAAUAUUGUGCAGAAGAGGGAGUUGUGAGACACAGAACUGUUAGGUUGACACCUCAACAGAAUGGCUUGGCAGAAAGGAUGAAUAGGACACUCAUGGAGAGAGUGAGAUGCAUGCUUGUUCAAACAAAACUUCAACAGCCUGUUACCUAGUCAACCUUAGUCCAUCUUCAGCCAUAGAAUUCAAAACACCUUAUGAAAAAUGGACUGGACAACCAGCUAACUAUGGAGAUCUGAGAGUCUUUGGCUGUACAGCUUAUGCACAUGUAAACCAGGGAAAGCUAGCUCCUAGGGCUUUAAGGGGCAUCUUCAUAGGUUAUCCAGAAGGGGUUAAGGGAUACAAAAUCUAGUGCACAAAUGUUAACCCUCCAAAAUGCAUAAUUAGUAGGGAUGUGAUAUUCAAUGAAGAAGAAAUCAUAAGCAAGAAAUCUGUUCAAAGAAAGUCUGAGGAAGAUGCAAAGGGGUCAGAUAUACAUCAGAUUGAGGAGGAGCUAUCCAACCAUCAUGAUACACAUGAAGCUGCAGAUUCAAGUGAUAUCAAUGAUGAGUCAGAAACUCAGGAUGCAACUCAACUGGAAUCACAAGUACAAAGUUACCAGCUAGCUAGAGACAGAGCAAAAAGGCCAACAAGACCACUCAGAAGAUAUGGAUAUGCUGAUCUCAUCACAUAUGCCUUGGAAGCUGCACAUGAAAUUGAUGAUGAGGAACCAAAGAUCUUCAAUGAAGCAAUCCAGAGCAAGUUCAGACCAGAAUGGAAAGAGGCCAUGGAUGAUGAAAUCUUGUCCCUGCACAACAAUGAAACUUGGGAAUUGGUAGGAAGACCAGGAAAAAGAAGAAUAGUGGGCUGCAAGUGGAUUUUCAAAAUCAAAGAAGGAUUGACCAGCUCAGAACCAAAGAGAUUUAAAGCAAGACUUGUGGCAAAGGGCUAUACAUAUAAAGAAAAGGUUGAUUUUAAAGAGGUAUUCUCACAUGUUGUCAGGCAUGCCUCAAUAAGAGUGAUUUUGUCACUUACAGCAGUUCAAGACAUGGAGCUUGAUCAACUUGAUGUCAAGACUGCUUUUCUAUAUGGAAAACUUCAAGAAGAGAUAUUCAUGACUCAACCUAAAGGGUAUGAAGACCCUAAGAAGCCCAGACAUGUUUGUUUGCUUAAAAAAUCCCUUUAUGGUUUAAAAUAGUCUCCUAGGCAAUGGUAUAUCAGAUUUGAUGAAUUUAUGGUGACACAUGGAUUCAUGAGAUGCAAUUAUGACUGUUGUGUAUACUACAAACUGUUGAAGGAUGACCUCUACAUAUAUCUCCUCAUAUAUGUAGAUGAUAGCUUGCAAAAUAAAGGAAGAAAUAGAAGAUUUGAAGAAGAUCCUAAGCUCUGAGUUUGAUAUGAAGAAUUUGGGGAUUGCAAAGAAAAUAUUGGGGGUAGAAAUUGAAAGAGAUAGAGCUGCUGGUCUUAUGUUCUUGUCACAGAAGAAAUAUUACCAGGGUACUACACUCAUUUCAAAUGCUGAAUUCUAAACCAGUUGUAACUCCCUUAGCAGCUCAUUUUAGACUUAGUAACUUGCAAAGUCCUAAAACAAGUGAAGAGAAGCUGGAAAUGGAAGAUGUACCUUAUGCUAAUGCAGUGGGAUGCCUUAUGUAUGCCAUGGUCUUAACAAGACCAGACAUAUCACAUGUUGUGAGUGUUGUGAGCAGAUACAUGGCAGCACCUGGAAAAGAGCACUGGAAAGCAGUUAAGUGGAUAAUGAGGUAUCUGUCUGGUACAUUGAGCUGUGGCCUGGUGUAUGGAAAAAAUAAGGGAAGUUGUGAAGGUCUACUGAGGUUUGUAGAUUCGGAUUAUACAGGGGACUUGGACAUGAGGAGAUCUUUAAUUGGUUACAUGUUCUUAUUUAAUAGUUGUCUCGUUAAUUGGAAAGCAACUCUACAACAUGUGGUAGCUUUGUCAACCACUGAGGCAGAAUACACAGUUGCCACUGAAGCUGUGAAAGAAGCAUUAUGGUUACAAGGGUUAAUGAGAGAACUGGGGGUGAAGCAGAAGACAGUAACAAUGUAUUGUGACAGCUCAAGUGCCCUACAUCUGUGCAGGAAUCCUGCACAUCAUGAGAGAACAAAGCGCAUAGACAUUAAACUCCAUUUCAUUCGAAAUGAAGUAUCUAGAGGAGCUGUGAAAAUGUCCAAGGUUCAUACAGAUGAGAACCCUGCUGAUAUGCUUACUAAGGUGGUAUCGACGGCUAAGUUCAAGGUGUGCUUGAGCCUAGCCAGCUUGGGUGACUGCUGAUUACCUGAGGUUUUGGAGAAAGAAGCAAAUUAAGGAGUUUUGAUUCAAGGUGGAGAAAUGUGGACUAAAAUGAUGAAUCCAAAACUUGAGCUUGUUAAACGACAACGUUUAGACUAUGUUUAAUAUACUCAGGAGUCACGAGCAUGACAUGUGAGUUACUUAAGUUCAAAACGGCAGGAGCUUAUGACGUUUUGAUUGAAGGCUUAAGUAGAACAUGUGGAGUGCACAUGGGGUGGAGAAUCAAGUUAGUUACGAAGUUAUUAGUACAGGUGGCAAAAAUCUGUGCAUUUUGGAUUUGUUAACAGCUGUUAUAUAAGCUGGUUAAUAGAGCAGUUUUGAGGAUGAUCUGAGAGCGUGAUAGAGAGAGUUAUAAUAGAGAGAAAGCUUAGUCUUGAUCCUAGUUGUUAGCUCUUGCAUUACUCUAUAAAGAUUACUUGAAUCAUCAAUAAAGCUUGCUCUGUGAGCUUCUCCUGUGGAUGUAGAUUGUGCUUCUUUGCACAAUCGAACCACGUAAUUCUCUGUUUUGCUUUAGCUUAUUGAUUAGCUUCUAAUUCUUGUUCUGGUGUGUUCUGAUUACAACCAUUCUCAUAUGAGAGUUCUGUUAACACUUAAAGCUUGAUUGUUUAGGAUCUUAGCGUCUUGUUGGUCUGAUUUGUGAUCUUGGGCAGUGCUUGGGUUGCUAAUCGAUUUCUACAGCACCCAAAUCACUACAGUCUAUAAAUAGGCUAAUAUUUUCAGAAACCCAGUUCUAAUCCCAUGUAAAAUGAACCCUAAAACCACCAAACUUCCUAAUUUGGUCAACCACUCCAAUUUUCGGUUCAUUAAAUCAAAACCCCUUCAUUAGUUUUCCUAUUUCCUCUCGGCCUCAAACCUCAUCAAGAAGAUUCCAUAAACAAAACCUUUAAAACACUUAUGCAUUCUAGAAUUCUCUUUGCUUUUGCAAUAGAGCAAUGUCAGAUUGACUGAAACCAAUGCCACCCGAGCUCAUAUAAAAACCUAUGCACUAGGGGUGGUAAUCUGGGUCAAGAUUUGUUUAUUUGAUUCGAUUUGAUUCGAUAUGAAUUAAAUAAGUUUAGGUUUGAAAAAAUUAAUUCGUUUAAUGAACGGUGAAUUCGAUUUGAUUCGCUAAUUAAAAAAAUUGGGUCCGGAUUUGAGUAUAUUGACUCAUUUAUUCAUUGAGAAUUCGUUUAAUAAAUGGGUUAUAAACAAAUCGAACACGAUCUAUUCAUUUGAAAUUCGUUUAUUAUUUGUUUAAUUCAACUAAUCAUAUUUUAUAUGUCACGUUAGUUUGUUAAGAAAAAUAUUGUAUAAAACUUUGUACCUGUAAUAUUAUUUUAUUUUACUAUGUUAAACACUAGUUGGACAAUCUUUUUAAGAAAAUAAGAUGGACUUUGCAUACAUUGAUUUCAUGGCAAUCGUUUUAUUUUCAUUUUUAGAUCACAAAUUUCAUCAAGUUCACCCCAGGACAGUUAGAAAUUAAACUGAAUUCUUCCAAAAUACAAACAAAGAUUAUACUAAAUCAUCAGAACACACAAACAAAUUACACAAAAUAUAUUGAACAUACUCCCAAACAAAAAGGAAAUUGAUAUACCCUCCAAGAUUGAUCUUUAUUAUGUUGUUACAAACAAGAAGUCUCUGACCAACCAAGUUAGGUUACCCUAAGGGACUUGGAUCCAAGGUAGCAAAUGCAAGUAAUUGUUUAUCAACUUGUAACAAAUUCAUGUCGUCUUCAAGCAAAUUCACCCAUGCCUCAAUCCCAUCUCCAAGUCUUGUAUUCAUAAGAACAAUAUAAGGAUAGAUCGAGAUAGUCGAUCCACCAAAACCAGCAACGCUAACCCAAAUAGGCUUUCCCCACCCAAAAUUGAUAUCAUAGAAACCCUUAAAACUACACCAACCGGUAAACAGAAUUCUAUCCUUUACCUCCGUAUAUACUUCAGCUUCAUCUUUGAUUUCUUGACACAAGUUACGAAACCCUCCGGCACCUUGAAGACUCUUCACAAAAUCUCCAUCCAAUCUUGUUAUCGCUUCUCUCAGCUGGCACACCAAAUCAUCAAUUUCUACAUCAUCAUCAGUGCAUAAUGUAUUUACGUGGUAAAUAAUGUUGCCAACUAAAUGUUCCGACAAUGGCGGCUUGGCUUUUCGACGCAAGUUUACUGCAUGAGUCAAGAAAGUUGGUUUAUGAGAACCGGAUUUUGUUUCGACGGCAGCCAUGAUAGGUUUGGCAAGGAGUGCUGACACAACUUCAACACGUGUUGGAUUUCGAACGCUGGAGCUACUUGCCCUAGCUUUAAGUUCUGCUAUUGCUUUGGCUUCAAAAACAAAUCUCUUUGUAACAAAUCUGCCGGUUCUACAAAACCUGGUGCCCAGAGCAAGUUGGUUUAAUUCUCUUGGGUAUGCAUCAUAAGGAGGAAAUAAAGAUGAAGCAUCAUAAAUAGGAUAUGGUACUGCUUCUUCCGAAUAUUUACGAGCUGUGGCAGUCCAACUCCCCAUGAACGAGGUGAAAGUUAAGACAUCACCAAACAUAUGUGAAAUACAAGCGCAAAUAACUUGACCUCCGCAAGCAAAUGAUGUUACCUGUACCUUAGCCGCAUGUGCUCCUGUUAUUUGUCCACUCUGCUCAUUACCAUCGACUGGGAUAAAUUUAUUGAUCAAGAAUAAAUCGGGUUUGCUGAGAAAUUCAUUAAGAGAACUUUUAGCUCGGGCCUCUUGGAAAUAAAUCCCCUCAUCGUUACAGUCAAUAGAGUAAAUCUCGGUCAACUUUCCCGCAAGUGGGUAAUACUGAACCAAAGUUUCUGAUAGAGACUGCUUUAGCAGCUGCAAUCUGUUGGAGAGAAUAAGAUCAAUAUUAGCUGCCGCUCCAGAAAGGUUGAGGGGAUAGUAAAAGAAUAGAGAAAGAUAUUGGUGAUUCUGAUAUUCAUCCAAGAGACAUAGCUUGUAGGACUUGAGAUGGAGAGGGGUUGCAGAAGAGGGUUUGAUGCAUUCUCUUGAAAUUGUUUUAACCUCCAUUUUCCUUUUGAGUAUUCUUGUAGGAACUAAGGUGCUAUGAACAGAUUAAGCAACCUUAGAUCCUGCCAAAGAUCACCAACCAACUAAUCAAGAUGCUCCAAGAUUGAUGACUGAAAAGCUUUGACUAAGAUGAAUCUAUGGAACUAGACAAUUAACCAAUUGGAUUUAAGAAAUCAAAAGAUGUAGAACAAACAAAGAACAAAAGAGACUUUACGUGGUUCAGCUAGAUUUCUCUAGCUUACAUCCACGGGAGGGCAAAUAUCAGCUUUAUUGAUUAUCAAGAUGAAUUACGAAGUAAUGCCAUUGGCUACAGAGGAAGAUCUGAACUGCUUAUUUAUACCAGUCCUUUCUCUCUCUAUAGCUCUCUCUCCACACCAAUCUGUUGCUUCCACAUUAGCUGCUUGAUAACAGCUUCAUAACGAACCCAGAAAUUCCCCAGCAACUCACGUGAGUUCUUCAUGCGUUAACAGCUUUUAACGAACCUUGCGAGCGAGAUAGAAGCACGUGAUACGAGCAUGCUUCACUUAAACUUAAACGGCAAGCUCAUAUGUCGUUCAGAAGAGUGUUUCUUUUGCUCCUCAAAACGCAUGUCUUCAUGUCGUUGAGCUUAAGUGAUUUCAGCUCUAAACGCAAGGUCUUCUGCCGUUUUGGUUUUCUGGAUUUGCUUUCACAAACAACAAUUCUUAAUUAAUUCUUAACGUUCUUGUUUUACAAUGCUACCAAUCCAGUCAGGUCAAUUUAUACAAAAGUACAUCGCUUGGCCAGGCAUCAAAAUGUUGGCUAUUAUCGUAAUAGACGAGAUCUCUACAACAAAAUGUCCAGGCAUCAAAAUGCGUGGCUAUUAUUGUAAUGAUAAAGGACCCAUUUAACGUGGCUGACGUUGCUGCGCACGUCUGGUCUUUUCUGAUUUUGUAAGUAAUAAUUUUUUCCCUCUCUGGGGCCACUUUCGGGAUGUAUGUCGUUACCAUUAGACCGAUAACGUUUGAUUUCUCACUGUCAAACAUUAGAUCAAUAAAGUUUGAUUUCUCGCUAUCAGACAGACAGAUUAUGGUAUUUAUUUUUUUUCAGAUCGAGAUUCUUCCAUGAUCUUUUUUGUUGAUGUAAAUACACUUAUAUUGAUAGUUAAUAAAUUAAAACAUAAUAUAUGUAACGUAAAAGACAAAUUUUCUAAGGAGUCUACCUAACCAUAGAGAACUACUCCACUAGCGAUAGCACAAGAAGAAUUUUGCGGUUUGCUGGACCCACCUCAAACAUGGUAUAUGAAGACUCAUUCAAAUCAAAAAGCGAAUUCUCCUUAAUGGACACAACAUCACCAAUUAGCAUAGUUUUAAGAUCGGAACAUAAAGUGUACUCGAUUUAAACCCGAUGACUAUGUGUAACAACAAAAAUAUAAAAAGAACUGCACAACCAGUGAAGCCAAACGCACCCGUAAUUUAAAAGCAAAAGCGGCUAAAAUACAGAAGAAACGCCGACCUUAACAAUGGAACUAAUAAUUUUAACCUCACAAUUGAACGACACUGGUGGAGUCUACAAGACCCGUUUUCAUACGGUACUCACUUAUUGUUGCUUGGCCAGCUUCAGGGGACUUGGAUCGAUGGUUGCAAAUUCAAGUAAAUUUUUAUCAACUUCUAACAAAGCCAUGUCUUCUUCAAGCAAAGACACCCAUGCCUCAAUUCCAUCUCCAAAUCUUGUAUCCACAAGGUUGAUUAUAGGUGAGAACUGGAGAAUCGAUCCACCAAAGCCAACACAACUCACCCAAAUAGGCUUUCCCCAUCCAAAAUCAAUACCAUAAAAACCAAAAGUACACCAACUGCUAAAUAUAACUCUAUUCUUUGCGUCCGAACAGGCUUCAGCUUCAUAUUUAAUAGCUUCACUAAGUUUAAGUAACCCUCCAACACCUUGUAGGCUCUUCACAAAAUCUCCAUCAAAUUUCGAUAUUGCUUCCCUCAGUUGCCACACCAAGCCAUCCAAAUCUACUUCCUCUUCUGUAAAUAACGCAUUUGUAUACCAAACGAUGUUCCCAAUUAAAUAUUCUGACAGCGGGGGCCUUGCUCUUGGACGCAGAUUUACAGCAUGGGACAAUAACAUUGGUUUGUGGGAACCUGACUUUUUGUUUACGACAGCCAUGAUGGACUUGGAAAGGAUUGCUGACAAAACCUCGAUGCGUGUUGGAUUUUGAACGCGUGAGCUUUUGGCCUUGGCUUUGAGUUCAGCUAUUGCUUUGGCAUCAAAUACAAAUCUCCUCUUCACAAAUCUACCAGUUUCAAGAAGUCGAGUGUACGAGGCAUUUGAGACAGCUCUCAAUUGAUGAAAUAAAUCAUCUUCAUUAGGAAGAAACAAAGAUGAAGCAUCAUAAUUAGGACAUAUAAAUAUGGUUUCUUCUUCCGAAGUCUGCUUACGAGCUGUGGCAGCCCAAGCCUUCAUAAACGAGCUAAAACUUGUGCCAUCACCAAACGUAUGUGAAAUACAAGCACAAAUAACAAGACCACCACAUGCAAAUGAUGUUACCUGUACCAUAGCCACGUGAGCUCCCGCUACUUGUCCACUCUGUUGGCUGCCAUCUACCGGACAUAAUUUAUUUAUCAAGUUCGGAUCGGGUUGUAUGAGAAGUUCAUUGAGUGGACUUUUGGCUACGGCUUCUACAAAAUAAACUCCCUCGUCGUUGCAGUCAACGGAAAAGUUGUUUGUCAAUUUUCCAGCAAGUGGGUAAAAGUGAACUAAAGUUUCUGAUAGAGACUGCUUCAGUAGUUGCAAUCUUUUCGAGACAAUAUGAUCAAUAUCAAUGGCGGAUGAAAGGUCGUCUUGGUUGAGGGGAUAGUAUAGAACCCUUGGAGCGUAGGCAUUACUCAGAAAUUGAUCCAUGAGACAGAGCUUGUGGGUUUUUAGGUCAAGUGGUGUCGGGGAAGAGGGUUUGAUGCUCUCUCUAGAAAUUAUUUCUACCUCCAUUUUCUUUUUCAGAGCUUUCUUGAAUUGAUUGGCUAAAAAGUGUUUGAAUACUUUUGCUAUCAAAUUGAGUUGUAUUUGAUUAAUUCUGGAGCGAUUUUGAGGGUCCGCCAGUGUGAACUGGGUGGCGAUAUUUCAAACAUUGACAAAUUUUUAAAGGAAACUGAU